ACUUCAACCAACGUGAUAAUUCAAACGUGUAUUUGACCAUUAUCUCAAUUCCUUUCGUUAGUCUAGUACGUGACUAACUUUGAUAAGCUUCAAUUAAGGCCUUAAUUGGGUGUGACGGAGUCAAUUCUGUGGUGGCAAACUGGCUUGGGCUUCAGAAACCUGUCUAUUCUGGGCGCUCUGCAAUUAGAGGCUUUGUUGAGUAUCCGGAAAAACAUGGUUAUCAGCCUAAGUUCCACGCGUAUUUUGGAGGUGGAGUUCGGUUUGGAUUUCUUCCUAGUGAUGAGAAGAGUUUGUACUGGUUUUGCACAUUCACACCAUCUGUUGUUCAUUGUAAGCCACCUCCUACAUACUGUUUCUUUUGAAGAUUUACUUUUUGAAGGAUAUUUUUGUUGGCUAGAGAGCUUACCUCUAUGAAGGGGGAGCCUUGACGUAAUUGGUAAAGUUACUGUCAUGUGACCUAGAGGUCGCGGAUUCGAGCUGUGGAAACAGCCUCUUGCAGAAAUGCAGGGUAAGACUGCGUACAAUAGACCCCUGUGGUCCAAGCCUUCCCCAAACCCUGUGCAUAGCGGGAGCUUAGUGCACCGAGCUGCCCAGAUAGCUUACAUUUCAUAAACUAGUCAUGUUUAGUUGUUCAUUUUAAUUGGGAUUUUAUGCAGUUGAUGGAAAUGCAGAACAAGAUCCAAUGAAAUUGAAGCAAUUCGUGUUGAACAAGGCUAGUAAUGUGUCUAAAGAACUCUCCACCAUUAUAGACAGAACUACGCUCGACUGUAUAUCUAUCGCUCAGCUGAAAUUGAGGUUGCCAUGGAAUGUUCUGCUUGGGAAUAUUUUGAAAAAUAACGUUUGCGUGGUAGGUGAUGCACUUCAUCCCAUGACUCCUGAUCUUGGUCAAGGUGGAUGUUCUGCUUUAGAGGACAGCGUUGUUAUUGCAAAGUGCCUCGGAGAAGCCUUGAUAAAACCGAUAACAGAACAAGAAGACGAUGAAUCUACGAAGAUUAGAAAAGGACUUGAGAAGUAUGCUAAAGAGAGGAGAUGGAGAAGUUUUACAUUUAUCAGUGCUGCUUAUUUAUCUGGUUUCAUACAAGAGAGUGAUAACAAGAUAAUCAGUUUCUUAAGACAACAUUUUUUGGCUGGAGUUACUAUAUCAGUUACACUAAGAAUAGCUAACUUCGACUGCGGAAGAUUAACUGUUUCUUAGUAGCUCAAUUGGAUCUUUUAGAAGCUAUGAAUACCCUUUAUGGACUUUGUUUAGUAUCUAUCUAGCAUACAUGUUCUGGUUUAGCUGUGUUUAAGAAUUGUAAUACCGAAACGGAUCCUUAUUUUGCAAUAAUAAAAUACAAGUUGUGAGCAACCAAUUGUGUCCUUCAUCAAAGAUAUCCAACAACAUCAGUUGUUUAGAAGUAUUGAACAAGUGUUUUCUUAUCUGAGAUCAUUUCGUGCAAUUAGAUACUACUCCCUAUGUUUCAACGACUUGAUACGAAGUUUAACAAAGUAAAUAAGACUUUUGUACCAUGGACCGCUACUUGGUUCAAUGACUUCCAAUUUCCACAAGGGAUCAUUGUUUUGUUACAUACUCUUGAGUAGAUGUAGGAGGAAAUGCAGGAGUCAAAUCAUGUCUUUAAUUGUUUUUUUUUGUUUUUUUUUGGAUUUCUCACUUGACUUGUCAGGCAAUAGUAUCUCUCAUUGGAAAUUUGUUACAAGUUCUGCAGCAAAAUUUUCUACCGUUUGUCUUACAUAAUGGGAUCAAUUCACAUUGUCUUAGGUGACACACACGGCAGAGAUAGUCGAUGACCUCGAAAUGAAAAUAACAUUUAGAUGGGGUACAAGCACCCCCAUUCUUUUGUUUGUUUUUUCUCUCUAUUAGACUACUUUACUUUGAUUUUAUAUCAAUUUAUGAAUGUCGUAAGUAUGUAUUUUUAAUUGAAAUUUGCUAGUAACUAAACCUUAAAAUUUAUAGUUAUUAGCGUGAAAGGAAUUAAAUUUAACAUUAAAAUACGACCCUCAAUUGAUGUUUCUGGUCAUAGUACUGUUAAAAAAUUACUUAUGAUUGUUACAUUUUAUUAUUCAUUAUAGGCUUAUUUUCACAGAAAUUACACAAGUGUAACUCAUAAACUAGUAUAUAUAUAUAUAUAUAUAUUACUAAAAGUGGGAAGAAUCUAAAGCAAAAAUUAGAUUGCGAAAAUACCCUUAAGUAUUAAUUUAUUUUCUUAAAAAUCUAUUUUUAAAAAUAGUCUUUUUAUUUAUUUAUUUUUAAUAUUUUAUAAAAAAUGAAUGUGUCAAUUACUACUCAUUUAUAUAUUUAUAUUCUGUAAUAUAAACAUUUAUUUGCCUUUAUUUCAAUUAUUCACAUGAAUUUUGAUUAUUAUAACUCCUAUAUUAUAUUAAUAGUCAUGUUCAUAAUAUCAUUUGAUAUUCCAUAUUAUUGUCCUAUAAAUAGAGAUAUUAUAAAGGUGCAAGUAUUACACAAUUUAGUUUGACUUUGCUACUUCUCCACCAUUGGUUAUGAGGGUGACACAUAUUCCCAACUUGUGAAUCAUUUAUGUCUUGAAAUAUGUACCAUUCAAUUGCUCAUUUGAAUUUGAACAAAUAAUUUUAUAAAACAGAGUAACUUUAGCUAAAUAAUUAUAAUGGAUAAAUGAAUAGAGUGUUUGAUAAAUAUGAUAGUAUUUAUGCGUUGCACGUUUAUUUCUAUUUUUUAUUAUAAAGUUUGUAAAAUAAAAUAGUAAAUAAAAAAAAAAGCACUUAAAAAGCUACACAACUUGUAAAAUUUAUGGUCACCAAAGCAAGAAUUAUUAUCAACCAUACAAAGACUCAAAUUUUAAAAUUUAAAGUCUUAUCGUGUAUAAUAAUUUUUUAUUUGUAGUUAUUUAUUUGUUGAAUAGGAAUUAUACUAGAUGCAUAUUAUAAUUGUACAUAUAACCACAUAUUUAUUAUCUCAUUACACAUAAUACCUAUUAAGCUAAAUUUAAUUGUUUAAUUUUGCAAGUUUAGAGUACAUUCUCUAAUAUUUUGUAUGUAUUGAACAAUCAAGUCAUUUGUGUAGACUAAUUAUUUAUCAAAUUGAACUUGUACUUCUUUCUUCUGAUUUAUAUACUCAUUAUACACAUGUUUUAAUAUUGCCUUAUAAUUUCAAAAAAAAAUCUAUACAAAUUGGGACACACGUGCUCAAAAACUAGUUCUAAAAAACAAGCUAAAAGAAAGACGUAUCUACAUUUGAAGUUCGAUUUUCGCCUAUUUUAUAUUCCGACAUAUUCAUUCACUUUGACUUAAAGGGCGUGUUUUGCGUGGUAGGUGAUGCACUUCAUCCCAUGACUCCUGAUCUUGGUCAAGGUGGAUGUUCUGCUUUAGAGGACAGUGUUGUCAUCGCAAAGUGCCUCGGAGAAGCCUUGAUAAAACCGAUAACAGAACAAGAAGACGAUGAAUCUACGAAGAUUAGAAAAGGACUUGAGAAGUAUGCUAAAGAGAGGAGAUGGAGAAGUUUUACAUUUAUCAGUGCUGCUUAUUUAUCUGGUUUCAUACAAGAGAGUGAUAACAAGAUAAUCAGUUUCUUAAGACAACAUUUUUUGGCUGGAGUUACUAUAUCAGUUACACUAAGAAUAGCUAACUUCGACUGCGGAAGAUUAACUGUUUCUUAGUAGCUCAAUUGGAUCUUUUAGAAGCUAUGAAUACCCUUUAUGGACUUUGUUUAGUAUCUAUCUAGCAUACAUGUUCUGGUUUAGCUGUGUUUAAGAAUUGUAAUACCGAAACGGAUCCUUAUUUUGCAAUAAUAAAAUACAAGUUGUGAGCAACCAAUUGUGUCCUUCAUCAAAGAUAUCCAACAACAUCAGUUGUUUAGAAGUAUUGAACAAGUGUUUUCUUAUCUGAGAUCAUUUCGUGCAAUUAGAUACUACUCCCUAUGUUUCAACGACUUGAUACGAAGUUUAACAAAGUAAAUAAGACUUUUGUACCAUGGACCGCUACUUGGUUCAAUGACUUCCAAUUUCCACAAGGGAUCAUUGUUUUGUUACAUACUCUUGAGUAGAUGUAGGAGGAAAUGCAGGAGUCAAAUCAUGUCUUUAAUUGUUUUUUUUUGUUUUUUUUUGGAUUUCUCACUUGACUUGUCAGGCAAUAGUAUCUCUCAUUGGAAAUUUGUUACAAGUUCUGCAGCAAAAUUUUCUACCGUUUGUCUUACAUAAUGGGAUCAAUUCACAUUGUCUUAGGUGACACACACGGCAGAGAUAGUCGAUGACCUCGAAAUGAAAAUAACAUUUAGAUGGGGUACAAGCACCCCCAUUCUUUUGUUUGUUUUUUCUCUCUAUUAGACUACUUUACUUUGAUUUUAUAUCAAUUUAUGAAUGUCGUAAGUAUGUAUUUUUAAUUGAAAUUUGCUAGUAACUAAACCUUAAAAUUUAUAGUUAUUAGCGUGAAAGGAAUUAAAUUUAACAUUAAAAUACGACCCUCAAUUGAUGUUUCUGGUCAUAGUACUGUUAAAAAAUUACUUAUGAUUGUUACAUUUUAUUAUUCAUUAUAGGCUUAUUUUCACAGAAAUUACACAAGUGUAACUCAUAAACUAGUAUAUAUAUAUAUAUAUAUAUUACUAAAAGUGGGAAGAAUCUAAAGCAAAAAUUAGAUUGCGAAAAUACCCUUAAGUAUUAAUUUAUUUUCUUAAAAUCAUUUUUAAAAAUAGCUUUUUAUUUAUUUAUUUUUAAUAUUUUAUAAAAAAUGAAUGUGUCAAUUACUACUCAUUUAUUUAUUUAUAUUCUGUAAUAUAAACAUUUAUUUGCCUUUAUUUCAAUUAUUCACAUGAAUUUUGAUUAUUAUAACUCCUAUAUUAUAUUAAUAGUCAUGUUCAUAAUAUCAUUUGAUAUUCCAUAUUAUUGUCCUAUAAAUAGAGAUAUUAUAAAGGUGCAAGUAUUACACAAUUUAGUUUGACUUUGCUACUUCUCCACCAUUGGUUAUGAGGGUGACACAUAUUCCCAACUUGUGAAUCAUUUAUGUCUUGAAAUAUGUACCAUUCAAUUGCUCAUUUGAAUUUGAACAAAUAAUUUUAUAAAACAGAGUAACUUUAGCUAAAUAAUUAUAAUGGAUAAAUGAAUAUAGUGUUUGAUAAAUAUGAUAGUAUUUAUGCGUUGCAUGUUUAUUUUCUAUUUUUUAUUAUAAAGUUCGUAAAAUAAAAUAGUAAAUAAAAAAAAAGGCACUUAAAAAGCUACACAACUUGUAAAAUUUAUGGUCACCAAAGCAAGAAUUAUUAUCAACCAUACAAAGACUCAAAUUUUAAAAUUUGAAGUCUUAUCGUGUAUAAUAAUUUUUGAUUUGUAGUUAUUUAUUUGUUGAAUAAGAAUUAUACUAGAUGCAUAUUAUAAUUGUACAUAUAACCACAUAUUUAGUAUCUCAUUACACAUAAUACCUAUUAAGCUAAAUUUAAUUGUUCAAUUUUGCAAGUUUAGAGUACAUUCUCUAAUAUUUUGUAUGUAUUGAACAAUCAAGUCAUUUGUGUAGACUAAUUAUUUAUCAAAUUGAACUUGUACUUCUUUCUUCUGAUUUAUAUACUCAUUAUACACGUGUUUUAAUAUUGCCUUAUAAUUUCAAAAAAAAUCUAUACAAAUUGGGAUACACGUGCCCAAAAACUAGUAUAUGGAUAAUGAUGAUUGAUUUGUAAGAACAGAACAUUUUGUUAUUUGCUGAAUACAAAAAAAGAUGUGGCUUGUUAACUGGUCAUGUUAUCGGAUUGGACCUUAGUUGCAGUCGGCUUGGUGGAACUAUUCAUCCCAAUAGCAGCCUCUUCCAACUCCAUCAUCUCCGGACACUAAAUCUUGCUCACAAUGACUUCAAUUUUUCUUCAAUCCCACAUAACAUUGGCCGAUUGACGAAUUUGAGACAUCUCAACCUUUCUGGUUCUUUGUUUGAAGGGGAAAUCCCAACAGAAAUCUCAUACCUUUCCAAUUUGGUUUCACUUGAUAUGAGUAACAAGUUGUUAGAAGUGACUAGUACUCAUCCAUGGACCGCUAGUUGUGUAUUUAGUGAUGCCAAAGUUGUAUUAUUUUCUCUCAAUUUAUGCCAAAGUUGGAAAUAGACUUAUGAGGGGGAAAGUACCCCAUUUUAUUUGUCUAGAUAUCUUUUCUUUCUUUAAUUUAAACCACACACUUCCAUAUACCCAGUGUAAUUCCUUAAGUCAGGGUUUAAGAAAGGUAGAGUGUACGGAGACCUUAUCUCUAUGAGGUAGAGAUAGAGAGGUUGCUUUCGAGAAUAAAAUACAAGUUGUGAGCAACCAAUUAUGUCCGUCAUCAAAACUACCCAACAACAUCAGUUGUUUAGAAGCAAAUAUGGUAAUUGGUAACAGCUUAAAGGUAAAUCUGAAGUAUUUUUUAAGUGUUGGCUUAUCUGAGAAUUAGAUGCUACUCCCUCCGUUUCAAUAUGUCUGAAUGGUUUUGACUUGACAUGGAGUUUAAAAAAGUAAAAAAAUAAUUGUAUCUUGUGGUCUCAAAUUAAAAUACGUAGAAUGUACCAUGAACCACUAAUUGGUUCAAUGACUUCAAAAUUCCACUGUAACAUUGUCUUGUUAAAUCAUGUCUUCAAUUAUUGUUCUUUUUAUUUUUCUCACUUGACUUAGUUAAGCAAUAGUAUCUCUCAUUGGAAAUUUGCUGCAAUUCACAUUGUUUUGCGUAACACACACGGCAAAUAUAGUGGAUGACCUUGAAAUGAAAACAACAUUUAGAGAAAACAAAUUUGGAAUAAUUGGUACUGGCCACCAAGAAUUAAAGACUCGAGUCUUUAUGGAAAUUGACUUAAAUUUGGGACAAAUUUUUUUGCAACCACAAAUUAGUUUGUGGUAGAUGAGGGGCAAGUACCCCAUUUUAUUUGUCUGGAUGUUUUACCUCACAGUCCCAUAGACAAGUCAACAACAACAAUAACAUAUUCAGUGUAAUCUCACAAGUGGGGUCUAGAGAAAAGUAGAGUGUGCGUGAGAGGUUGCUUUCAAUAGACCCUUGGCUAAAAAUAAAGCAUGGCCAAGCAUUUUGAAAAAGGGAAUACAAAAGUAAAAGUAAUAACAACAAUAAAAUAAUAUGAAAAGAAGAGUAGUACAACAUACAGAUGAAUGAAUAAUAUGACAAUAAAAUAAAGCGAUAUUCGAAGCACAAAAUACACAGGUGAUACUCGGGAAAAAAAAACUACGAUCGAAUAUAACACAUGAUAGACAAGUCAACAACAAUAAUUGCAUAUUCAAUAUAAUUUCACAAGUGGGGUCUAGAGAGAGUAGAAUUUGUGCAGAAAUUACAGGAGCGUAACUCAGAAACUAGUAUAUAUAUAUGGAUAAUGAUGAUUGGUUUGUAAAAACAUAACAUUCUAUUAUUUGCUGAAUACAAAAAAAAAAAAAAAAAGAGAAAAAAGAUGGGACUUGUCUUUUUCUUUUAUUCACUAGUCUGUUUUUUGUCGGUAAUUAGUGAAAGUUUUUCUUCUUCCUCUGUGAUGAUGCAUCAUGUUUGCUCUCCCACUGAAGCUUUUGCUUUGCUUCACUUCAAACAAUCCUCUCAAAUCUCUGACCAACCUAGAUGUUGGGAUGAGACUGAUCUGCAAUAUGAGAGAUAUUUUGAUAUCCCAAAAACAAAGUCUUGGAAUGAGAGUAGGGAUUGCUGCAGUUGGGACGGGGUAACUUGUGACAUGUUAACCGGUCAUGUUAUCGGAUUGGACCUUAGUUGCAGUCUGCUUUUGGGUACUAUUCAUCCCAAUAGCAGCCUCUUCCAACUCCAUCAUCUCCGGACACUAAACCUUGCUUACAAUAACUUCUAUUCUUCUUCAAUCCCGCAUAACAUUGGCCGAUUGAGGAAUUUGAGGUAUCUCAACCUUUCUCAAUCUUUCUUUGAAGGGGAAAUCCCAACAGAAAUAUCAUACCUUUCCAAUUUGGUUUCACUUGAACUUUUUUGUUACGGAUGUGAACUUGAUGAGAGAACAUUUGAAACAAUUCUUCACAACUUCACAAAUCUGGAGGUAGUUUCUCUCCUUGGUGUCAACAUCUCAUCUUCAAUACCUGUGAAUAUUUCUUCAUCCUCCUUACGGUACGUGGAUCUUGGACAUACUAAUCUGCGAGGUGUUAUCACAGAGAGCUUUUUCCUUCUGCCAGAAUUGGAAAAUCUCAAAUUGAAUGGAAAUGAUCUUCUCAAAGGAGUUUUACCAAAGAUCCACCCGAGCAACACUCUGUUGGAGUUGGAUAUUUCCUACACAGGAAUCUCCGGUGAGCUGCCUGAUUCAAUUGGCACCUUGAGUUCAUUGAAUCUCUUGAACAUGUAUAGAUGCCAAUUCUCUGGUUCCAUUCCUGAAUCCAUUGGCAAUCUUACACAAAUGCGGAAAUUGAAUUUUGGAAAUAAUCAUUUCACCGGCCAUAUUCCUUCCACAAUCUCUAAAUUGAAGCACCUCACAUUUCUAGGUCUUUCGUCCAACUCCUUUUCAGGUGAAGUUCCCGACAUUUUUUCUAACCUCCAAGAGCUACGUACUUUAUAUCUUCGUAACAACAGCUUCGUUGGUUCGUUUCCUUCUACAAUUGUAAGCUUGACACAUCUUCAAGACUUAGAAUUGUCGAGUAAUUCCCUAUCUGGCCAACUGCCUAUUAAUGUGAGCAUGCUUCAAAAGCUAACCAUAUUGGAUCUGUCGUACAACUCACUGAAUGGUACCAUACCAUCUUCGGUGUUUGGCCUCCCUUUGCUAUCUUCAUUAUUGCUCCAACAUAAUCAAUUUAGUGGACUAGAUGAUGAGCUCAAAACAAACCCAACAUUAGCACACCUGGGUUUAAGCCAUAAUCAACUCAGUGGUUCUUUGCUUCAAUCACUUUCGAAUCUCACAAACCUUUCUAUGCUUGACCUUUCAUCAAGUAACAUCACCGUUCAUGUGGGAAAACAAAUCACUUUUCCUGGCCUAGAAGUUUUGCGGUUAUCAUCUUGUGAACUAAAGGAUUUUCCACACUUCUUGAGAAAUGUGAAGACACUUUGGCUCUUGGAUAUUUCUAACAAUAAGAUUCGUGGCCAAAUCCCAAAACUGGUUUAGCGGCAUAAGGUGGGACAACUUGUGGUACCUAAACCUUUCGCAUAAUUCUUUAACAGGCCACCUACAACAAUUUCAUUUCCAUAAUCUAGAGUAUCUUGAUCUUAAAUUUAACUUCCUUCAGGGUCCACUACCUUCAUCCAUUUGUAUCAUGAACAAUUUUCAAUUUCUAGAUUUAUCACACAACAACUUCAGUAACUCGAUUCCAAGUUGCUUGGGAAGCAUGACUAGUCUAACAGUGUUGGACUUAAGAAAGAACAAUUUCACAGGGAGUCUUCCAUCGUUAUGUGCGCAGAGCACUUCAUUGAGAACCAUUGUCUUGAAUGGUAAUCAAUUUAAAGGAACUCUCCCUGUGUCGUUGCUCAACUGUAGUGGUUUAGAAGUUCUUGAUAUGGGGAAUAACGCUAUAAAUGACACAUUUCCUGCUUGGCUAGGAACACUUCAACAACUGCAGGUCUUAAUAUUAAAGUCCAAUGUGUUCCAUGGACCAAUUAGUACUUGUCAGACUACGUUUUGCUUUCCCAAGUUGCGAAUUUUUGAUCUUUCGCGUAACAAAUUCAGUGGCUCACUCCCUGCAAAAAGUUUUUGCAAACUUCAAGGCAAUGAUUAAAUUAGAUGGUGAAGACACAGGAUAGAUCAAGUACAUGAAACCAUCUGAUGAUCCAUUUGACACAUCGUAUGAGGAUUCAGUGAGUUUGGUGAUCAAAGGCCUGGAUAUUGAGCUAGAAAGAAUCAGCACAAUUAUGACAACCAUAGACCUCUCGAGCAACCAUUUUGAAGGUGUCAUUCCGAAAACACUAAAGGAUCUCAGCUCACUUUGGCUACUCAAUUUAUCCCGUAACAAUCUCAUAGGUGAUAUUCCAAUGGAAUUGGGGCAAUUGAAUAAGCUUGAAGCGUUAGAUCUCUCUUGGAACCGGCUCACUGGAAAGAUUCCGCAGGAAUUGACAAGGCUAACAUUUCUGGAAAAGUUAAACCUUUCUCAGAAUGUUCUCGUUGGACCAAUUCCUCACGUUCUACAAUUCAACACAUUUGAAAAUGACUCGUAUGGCGGUAACCUUGAUCUAUGUGGUCCUCCUUUAUCAGAGCAAUGUGGAACGAGUGAUCUAUCCCAUGUUCCUCAACCAUUGGAGUCUGAAGACGAAUCAUAUUUUUUUAGUGGAUUUACGUGGGAAUCAGUAGUCAUAGGCUACAGUUGUGGACUAGUUGUUGGAACUGUUGUGUGGAGCCUCAUGUUUAAAUAUCGUAAGCCAGAAUGGUUUGUCGAAUUUUUUGAAGGCAUUUAUCCCAAGAAAAUGAGAAUGUCAAUGAAGAGAGCUCAGAGACGACGGACUUGAUGGAAGAUUGCAAGAGUGGACUUCUCUGUUUUUUAAUUUUCUUUUUGUUGUUUGUAUAUGUUUGAUAGCAAUAUAAUUGCAUGUGUUAUUUUGUGAAUUUCCACUGGAUUAAAAUUAGUGUUCUUGAUCUUUGCUUUCAAACUAAAAAAUUAAACUCAAAAUAAAAACAAGAGGACAUAAAACAUAACUUUCCUUUUUUACUAAAACAAUUUAUUCAAUUACUCUUGAGUUUAAUCAACUUCAACAUGUUUGGUAAUAUCAUCUCAAAUUAAUAAUACUAAAAAUGAUGGAUUUAAGAUCAUUCAAAUCCACAUAUAAAUUGAUUAUUGUAUAAUGGCAAUCCUCAUGCCUUCACUUAAUUGAAAGAAUGAGCCAAAGCUGUCAUGACAUGAGCUUGGUCUGAAAUAAUUUGUGUAGUUGAAGGAUUUUGUCCCAAAACAAUACAAUAACCAUCAUCAUAAUUCUCCAUUCCAUGUGCCAUUAGUUGCCAUACUAAACUUCCUCCCAUUGUUCCACCUUCUUUUGCCAAAUUAUACACAUUUCUAUAUACACUACUCAUAAAUAUAUCUCUUGAUCCUUGACCUCUACUAGACUUUCCAAAUUCAGCAAGCACUAAAGGUUUCUUUAAUAUAUUUCUUGCAUCUUCCCAAUGACUUGUUAUCCACUUUUCCAUCCACACCAAUUGUGCUUCAUCACUUUGUCCAGAUACCCUAUAACGAUCGAUAUAAAGAAAUAUUUAGACCUAUAUAAUGAAAACAUAUGAAAUUGUAUGUAGGGAAAAGAUGUAAAAACUACCAUUGGUCAGUGUAUGCAUGGAUAGUAGCAAAAUCAAUUUCAUUGAUAAGAUGGUUACUAAUGAUUUGAUAUUUCUAAAAUUCAAUUAAUUAAACUUGAAUUGGGGAUUACAUUAACAGUUUUUCCUGAAUAGUCAGCUUGAUCGCGAGGCUCAUUCAUGAGUUCCCAUUCCAUAAUUGUUGGAUCAUCUUUGUAAGCAACUUUAUUAAUACUAUUCAACCUUGUAACCACUUUCUGUAACAAUUUCGUAAUAUUAUUAAUUAAAAAAGUUGUUUAUAUGUAUUAAAUAAUAAUUACCCCAUAUAUACCUCAAUGUGGUUCUUCAAGUAUUUUUUGAGCAUAGGAUGAGUAUAGAAUUCAUCGUCAUUACUAAUUUGAGCUCCUGCAUUUCGCGCCCACCAAACAUAUUGAGCUUUUCCUCCAAAAAUCGUUUCAUUGAUUUACAAAGCUCAAGAUUAAACGAACACCAUAUUUCUUAGCUUCCGCGAUCACAAAAUCCAAGCCCUAAAUUUAGAAACAAUUAAAAUAAGUACUAUCUAAUUAAGAGACUCAUCACAUGCAUUACAAUGCAAUAAUGUAAAAGAUAUCAAAAUUAUAAUAAUAAACCUUUACCUGAAAAACACGUUCAUCAUAAACGCCAGGUGAUAUUUGUAAUGCUCUAUCACCUCCAUCACUAAAAGCCCAAGUACGACAAACAGAAAGACCAGAGGUAGAAGCAUCUUUAAGAACCUCAGUGCCUUUGUAUCUCUCAGUAGGGUCAGCAGCAACAUGCAUCAACCAAUAUGAGUUGAAACCAUUGAAUAGAAAAGGGGAUCCAUUGAGUUCAAAAUGAGAAUCCUUAACUCCUAUAAACCCGGAAUUUGCUUCACAAGCAAGAGCUAAGAACAAGAGAAAGAGCCCAGAAAUGCAACUUCUUUUUGUAUAAGACAUUUUGUUUAGUGAAUUAUAGAAGAUAUAUGUGUGCUAUGUUAGAUGACACCUUUUAUAGUGUGUUGAAGAUAAGGAAAUUUACUAAAAUUAAAUUAGCAAAACUUACAAAAACUAAAAAAAAUUCCUAGUGGAUAUAAUUGGAUAUUGAGAUUUGAUGAAUUUUUUUAAAAAAAUUAGUUAUUUGGUUAAGAUAGAAACAAAGUUCUGUUGAAAAAAUUGUAUGGGGAGAAAAGAAGAAGAAAAAUAUGGAAACAUUAAUUGGUUUGUUUUUUUUAAGGUUUGUUCACUAUUAGAUUUGAUGAUGAAAUAAUAUUGAAACGUGUACUCAUUGUAUUUUUUAUAGUAAUAUACUUGAAUAUUUCUAUGUGGAUGUGUUAUGUGUGUAUUUUAAUCUUAUUUUAUUGCAAGAAAUUGAGCCAAAAUAAAAAUAAAAAUACUUUUAAAAAAAGUUUAAAAGAGAAAUAAAGAGGGCAUAACAUUAUUUGGGAAUAAAAUAAUUUUUUUGGAAGAUAUAUUCUUAAAAAAAAGGUGAGUUUCUUAUUUAUUUUUUUGGUAUGAAUAAGUGAAUUUCUUACUUAUUUUCUGGUAACAUAUUUGGGAUCUUUGAUGUUUAGUUUAUGCUAAUUUGACAAAUUUCAUAGUCCAUAUGUCCCAAGUAUCAUUUUGGAUGAAGUCGUCAAAGACGACUUUAAACUUAGAAUAGGCAAAUUUAAAAUAAGUGUGAUCUUAUUAUACGUGGAGGCGGAUGCAAUGGUUUAAUUAUGAGUUCAAUCGAACUCAAUAUUUUUGUCACAUAACAUAUAUGUAAUGUAGAAGUCAAAAACACAAAAAUAAAAAGAGAUUCUAUAUUCAUAAUUAAAAAAAGUACAAUUAGUUCAGUUUAAAUUCUAAAUUCGACUCAAACUAUAUGUAUAUAGAGUUGUAAGUUGAAAACAAUAGGUUCACUUCUACUCAGAACUCGCCCUGAAUCCGCCUCUGGAAGUAACCACCUAUUCCACGGCUAUGGAGGAAAAAUUGAAAAGAUCGUCCCCAAAAUGCUAUUAUAUACCAAUAUAAAGUAUGAUUUGACGUAUACAGUGUAAUUUUUCGACGAAGAGUGUUCAGAGAAACCACAGAACACCGUAGCUCCGCCCAUGAUCCCUGUAAGCAACCACCUAUCCGGUCGUUAACAUAUUAACCUAAAAAAAAUAUAACCUGAAGUUACAAUUGAUAUUAUUCUAUUUUGUCAACUGGAUUUUAGCGUUAUUGUUGUUUCUCGAUCUAUAUUACUGUUUACUACUUUGUCAACCCUUUAGUUACAUUUUUGAAUUUCUUUUUCUAGCUGAAGUUAAAAUAUACUAUCAGUGUGGAGGGAAAUAGCAUUGAGAAGAUGCAUACAUACUUUUCUUUAGCAACUUGAGUCAUUGCAAACAAUGCAAAAUCUCCGCAGAUGUUGCGGUUGCCAAAAAGUUAAAUAGGCGAUUUCGUUGUGGGAAUGUUGUUGAAAUUAUAUUUUCGGAUGUAAUCCACUGCAUAAAAAUAGGAGCCAGAACCCUUGAAGCCAUAGGGAAGCACUGUUAUGUCUCACUAGUUUGCAUCGAACAAUGCAUCCCCUUAAGGUUACUGACAAGCUAUCUCAAGUGGAUGAAGCUUUGUCAAUAGCCAAUAUAAUGACAAAUCUCAAGCAACUCGAGCCUCCCUAGAUGUUGGUUGGUAUAAAAAGAAAAUUGAGGUCGUUAAAAACUGCAGACAUCUUGAGCUACUAGAUGUAAGAGGUUGUUGGAAUGUGAACCUGAUGAAAAUUUAGUGAAGAAAUUCCAUCUUAUAGGUGGUUGAUGCAAUUGUCAUAGAUUGCUAUAAUAGGAAUAGCUGGGACAAUUGUUCUAACUAUUCAAGUUUUUUGUCUAUGUACAAUGGGAUUUUGUGGUUGGUGAAGCGGAUGACGACGAAUUUGAUGAGAUGUCCGAUGUGUAUUGGGGGGAUGAUCAAGAUAUGGAGGAUGUAAAAAUGUGGUGUAAUGAUGACUUAAAUGAUGUGGACUCUGGAUAUGAUUGGCUGCCAUCUCCUUGAGGUUUGCUUAUAAAAUUCUACUUAUUCAAUUUCCAGAAGUUUUGAAAUACUUCUCUUCUCUAUGUUAAAUGCCUAUGCUUCUCUAUGUUAUAUAUGAAAGUUUGUCCGCUCUCUACAAUACAAGGUAAAUGCGAGUUAUGUGUCUUGUGUACCUUUUUCCUCUUUCUUUGUUCUCUUUUAUUACUUUCUUAACUGUAUGUAUUCAUAUAACAAUAUUUUCAUGCUAUCUACAUGUUUGCUACAUUUGAGUCGAGGGUCUUUCAAAAAAUAGUCUUUCUUCCUCCACGAGGUAAUUGUAAGGCCUACAUACACUCUACCAUCCCCAUACCUCAGUUGUGGGAUUCCAAUGAGUAUGCUGUUGUUUCUUAGCUUGUGGUUCUUUGAGGAGUUCAUGCUUUCAUUUGAAUUUUCCAUCUGGUUGUUUGUUUCUCCUUUUUAACUCUACUGCUGAUUUUUUAAACUAAAGUUAUUCUACUCCAUCUUGUGGUUUCCAGAUUUUCUGUUCUUUUUGUUUUUGUUUGAGCUUCUUCUUAAUCUGCUUCGUCAGCUUUCUAAAUUCAUGUAUGAGCUAGUAAAAGAAACAAAGUCUAGCAGAAGAAAGUUAUGACGCCAUAUCUAAAUAGCUUGAGUCAUGGAAAAGUGUCCCAUGACAGUUUUGUUGAGUUCAUGUGGUAGUUCUAGUUUAAUUUUAAAUUCUUAGAGUCAAAGUUCUAUUGUUGUGCUACUUAAUUAUGUUGUCUUAAUUAAUGUUUUGUUUUCCUAUGAUUUUUCAUUCUUUUAUCUUUUUUUUGUGCAGGGAGAGGGAACAAUUUUUGAAUUGAUUAUUAUCAAUGUGGUUUGUACAACAUUAGCCUGAUUUAUUUCAUUCAUUAUUAUAUUGUGUUACCAACAGUUUAGCUUUAAGAAACUUAUGAAAAGUGAAUACAUGUCAAAUGACAUGGAGAAAGCUUAAAGAUUGGUAGGGUUCAGUGCUUGUUACCUUUUACUAUAAUGCUUCUUAUUAGUCCUUUGUUAUAAAAGUUUAAUUAAUGCACCGGAUAUAGGGUAGUAGAGAUUCAUAUAAAAUUGUGCUUAAAUAGCCUUAACACUACUAAUAUAUAUCUUAAAAUAAUAAGCUUCACAUUUGAUGUAGUCUUGGUACUCUGAUUAAUUUGAAUUGAUAGUGUAUUAUUGUCGAAAUAACUAGGGUGUCCUACUCUAGUCUCUUUUUCAGCUGUCAUUUUGCUGGAUUUCUGUUUGUUUUGGGGUAUUUUUAACUAUCUCAGAUCUUUUCCAGAGUCUUUUAAUCAAAUCUGAUGGAAAUUUGCAUGAGCUUGCUAAAGUAUUAAGUUUAUGAAUGAGUUGUUUUGACAUACUGAAAGGUAAUCAUAAGUUAGAUUUGAAAUUUGAUUUUUCCUUUGUAAUUAUAGCCUCGGUUAAUCAAUCUCUUUGGUGCUUUAUGGUUAUCUAAAUUACAUAAUAUCUUUUUAGAAUAAAUAAGCUUUUUUGCUUCCAAUUUAUGUCCAGAUAAUGUGUAAAGUUGAUGACUGAUCCUUCCUAGUAAUUCUGGUUCUCAUGAUGGAUAAUUCCUUUAUUGAUGAUCUAAAACUCUAGUUAAUGAGAGGCAUAUAAACUGUGUUGUAAUUCUUUUAGUUACACCUUUUAUAUCUAUGGCAUGUCUAUUAACAUUUAUUCUUAUGUCUUUGACAUUUUCUUACAUCUAGAUUUAGAUUCAUUUAUUUGAAAUAUAUGCAAUUUUGUUUGGCAGAAAGACGUGUUUAGUUAUAUAAAUAAUGUGGAUCUCUUAAAAUUCGGAAACAUACCCACCUUAUUUCCAUGAUUAUUUAUGCUUUGAAUUGAACUAAGUUAUAUUCUUUUUUUUUCUGCAGCUUCUCAACACCUGAUUGUUCAAAAGAUCCUACAAGAACCUGUCAUUGAAGAGAGUAUAUAGAGCUGAUAUUAGCGACUAAAUGUUUAUGAACAAGAGAGAUACAUUCAUAUUUUUUCAGUUAUUUAAAGAUGUCCUCUUCUAUACAUGUCAUGGUUCCUUCUUUUUCUACAAUUGUAAUGUUGUAGAAGUGAGAUUGAUAUAUCUUUGAUAAUAAUGCUUAGUUCUUCGUAAUAAACUAUGAAAUAUUUUAUGAGUAUUGAUUAUAUAGUACAUUUUCAGAUGUAUUUAUAUAUUAAGAGUGUGGGCCUACAUAUAAAACACUAAUGUAGAUUGGGUUAGUUUUUGUAAUUAAUGAUUUUUAAUGAUGGGAAUAACAAUUUACGAAAGGAAUAUUUUGUUGUCGCUAAAACACUUUUAACGACAGAGCCUUUAACGACCGGCAACAACUGGAAAUUUUCCGGUUGUUAUUGACUAAUGACAACGGGAUCAAGGCUUUUAGCGACCGGAUUUCCUCUCGUUGAAGACCUAUUUUCCUGUAGUGCCAAGGUAAAUCUUUCUCAGAAAUCCUUAACUUUGAAUCCAUAUUAUUGAAACUUUGACCAACGUGAUAAUUCAAACGUGUAUUUGACCAUUAUCUCAAUUCCUUUUGUUAGUCCAGUACGUGACUAACUUUGAUAAGCUUCAAUUAAGGCCUUAAUUGGGUGUGACGGAGUCAAUUCUGUGGUGGCAAACUGGCUUGGGUUUCAGAAACCUGUCUAUUCUGGGCGCUCUGCAAUUAGAGGCUUUGUUGAGUAUCCGGAAAAACAUGGGUAUCAGCCUAAGUUCCACGCGUAUUUUGGAGGUGGAGUUCGGUUUGGAUUUCUUCCUAGUGAUGAGAAGAGUUUGUACUGGUUUUGCACAUUCACACCAUUUGUUGUUCAUUGUAGCCAGCUCCUACAUACUGUUUCUUUUGAAAUUUUACUUUUUGAAGGAUAUUUUUGUUGGCUAGAGAGCUUACCUCUCUGAAGGGGGAGCCUUGACGUAAUUGGUAAAGUUAUUGUCAUGUGACCUAGAGGUUACGGAUUUGAGCUGUGGAAACAGCCUCUUGCAGAAAUGUUGGGUAAGACUGCAUACAAUAGAUCCCUGUGGUCCAGACCUUCCCCGAACCCUGUGCAUAGUAGGAGCUUAGUGCACCGAGCUGCCCAGAUAGCUUACAUUUCAUAAACUAGUCAUGUUUAGUUGUUCAUUUUUAAUUGGUAUUUUAUGCAGUUGAUGGAAAUGCAGAACAAGAUCCAAUGAAAUUGAAGCAAUUCGUGUUGAACAAGGCUAGUAAUGUGUCUAAAGAACUCUCCACCAUUAUAGACAGAACUACGCUCGACUGUAUAUCUAUUGCUCAGCUGAAAUUGAGGUUGCCAUGGAAUGUUCUGCUUGGAAUAUUUAGAAAAUAACGUUUGCGUGGUAGGUGAUGCACUUCAUCCCAUGACUCCUGAUCUUGGUCAAGGUGGAUGUUCUGCUUUAGAGGACAGUGUUGUUAUCGCAAAGUGCCUCGGAGAAGCCUUGAUAAAACCGAUAACAGAACAAGAGAUGAUGAAUCUACGAAGAUUAGAAAAGGACUCGAGAAGUAUGCUAAAGAGAGGAGAUGGAGAAGUUUUACAUUUAUCAGUGCUGCUUAUUUAUCUGGUUUCAUACAAGAGAGUGAUAACAAGAUAAUCAGUUUCUUAAGAUUUUGGCUGGAGUCACUAUAUCAGUUACACUAAGAAUUGCUAACUUCGACUGCUGAAGAUUAACUGUUUCUUAGUUGCUCAAUUGGAUCCUUUAGAAGCUAUGAAUAUCCUUUAUGGACUUUGUUUAAUAUCUUUCUAGCAUACAUGUUCUGGUUUAGUUAUGUCUAAGUAAGACCGAAUCAGAUCCUUAUUUUACAAUAAUAAAAUUGUGUCCUUCAUCAAAGAUAUCCAACAACAUCAGUUGUUUAGAAGCAAAUAUGGUAAAAGCUGCAUUUUAUUAUUAUCAUGGAAAACAGUGUUAAAGGUAAAUCUCUGAAGUAUAGAAUAAGUGUUUUCUUAUCUGAGAUCAUUUUGUGCAAUUAGAUACUACUCCUUCUAUUUCAAAUCUGGUUUUGACUUGACACGAAGUUUAAUAGAGUAAAGAAGAUCACUUUUGUAUCUUGUGGGCUCAAAUUUAAAAUAUGUUGAAUGUACCAUUGACCACUACUUGGUUCAAUGACUUCCAAAUUCCACAUCAUUGUUUUGUUACAUACUCUUAAGUAGAUGUAUGAGGAAAUGCAGGUGUCAAAUCAUGUCUUUAAUUAAUGUUGUAUAGUUUCUCUCAUUGGAAAUUUGUAAGAAGUCUGCAGAAAAUUUCUGUACAGUGUGUGUUACGUAACGGGAUCAUUUCACAUCGUCUUGCGUAACACACACUGUAGAGAUAGUCAAUGACCUCGAAAUGAAAACAAUAUUUAGAGAAAAUUAGGACAUAGUGAGUAUUAUUUGGUUAAGUCUUACUUCGUCGUCUAAAAAGUCUUGUGGAAUAAUACAAAAUAUGAGUAACAAGUUACUCAUUUUAGUAGAAUGAGCCACCCGCUAACCUGUGACUUAGAGAUAUGGAGGCGAUCCUCAAAUGUUUAGAAACAAAUAUUUGCUUCAGAAUUUGUCUGUAUAGAGAAACAGAUCCACAAUUAGUAAUAUAGAGAUAUUGUGUGUGCUUUAAUUUCUGCUGUAUUGUUUGAUCUUAGUCAAGGACCUGGUCCCUUGACCCCAGCGGGUGGAUUCAUACGAUUCGUGGCUCGAUCCUUAACUGGUUUAGCUACAUGAGAUGGGAUUCAUUGUCGCACCUAAACCUUUCACAUAAUUCACCUACAAGAAACGUAAUAUAGAUCCUGUAUAAUAUUAACAAGUAAUGUUGGAAUAAUCUCAUGAUUUUUUUUUUUUUGUGGUCUAUGUAAGAACCUUGCUAUUUUUAGCAUUUGCUUCGACUAAUGAUUUAGUUAUUUUCCGUCUCAUCAUAUUUGUCCUUUUUUUCCCCUGUAGUCUUUGUGGAAAUUGGCUUAAAGACUUGGAAGUUUUUUAAACAUCUAUUUCUACUACAACUACAUGGAUGUGAAAAGUCUGGAAAAUUAUAGAAUGUGACUCACAAGUGGGAAAAAUUCCACACGGUAUCAUUAAUGUUACAUCCUAGCAACUCCAGAGAAGCUACCUGAACUGUAUCAUAUUUCUCCCUUUGUUUCCCUGUAGUUUUUGUGGAAAUUGGCUUAAAGUCUUCGAAGUUUUUUAAACAUCUUUUUCUACUACAACUACUUGGAGUUUCUCCUCAUUAACUUAGUCAAGAAAUAGAAAUUUGUUACAAGUUCUGCAACAAAUUUUUCUACCGUGUGUGUUACGUAACGGGACCAAUUCAUAUCAUCUUAGGUGACACACACUGCAGAGAUGGUCGAUGACCUCGAAAUGAAUACACAUCUAGAGAAAAAUUAGCUAGAACAUAGGUGAGUAUUAAUUAUUUUCCCAAAGUCAUUUCCGUUUUCUAAAAAGUCUUGUGAAACACUACAAAAUACAGAGUAACAAGUAGACAUUUUAAUUUGUAUAAAGUUGAACAAAUAGACACACAUGUCCUACGUGACAUCCUACAUGUCAUUUUUUAUCCUACGUAGUGUCCUACGUGUAUUAUGUCAUGUAGGACUCAUGUGUCUACUUGUUCAACUUUAUACAAGUUUAAGUGCCUACUUGUGCAUAUCCAAAGUUGAAGGACAUAAACGUAAAAUGAGGCCAAGUUAAAGGGCACAUUUAUGUUUAAUGCCUUUUUGGAAAUAGACUUCUGAGGGGGAAAGUACCCCAUUUUAUUUAAUAAAAACUACAUAAUUAGACAUACUUAACUACCAUAUAUACAUAUAUUAUCUAUAGUUUAAAAUAUUACUCUUAAUACCACUUUUUAAUAAUUAUACCAUAUAUUUUAAAAAAGUUAAAUCUUAUAUGAUAUUGAAUAAUUAUCUUAAAAUUUAAACUCCUUAAUAGAAGGUACAUUAACAAUUAACCUCCCUCAAUUAGGGGUGUGCAUUCGGUUUUUCGGUUUGGUUUUACACUAUUCGGUUUGGAUUUUCGGUUUUUGGUUUUGUAAAAAUGUAACCCAAUCCGAUCCAAAAUAAAUUUGGUUUGGUUUGGUUUUCCUCUAUUCAGUUCGGCUUUUUUCGGUUUGGUUAUUCGGUUAUGUCAAUAAUUAAUAAAAAAUAAACCAAACCAAAAAACCAAACAAAGUAAUUUAUUAAUCCAAAACCAAUCUGAAAAACCAAAAAACCAAUCCAAAUAAAAAUUCGGUUUGAUUUGGUUUGGUUAUUCAGUUUAAUCCGAAUAGUGCACACCCCUACCCUCAAUCUCCUUCACCAACUAUAUAUCUCCUCCCCCCAAACCCCACGUCCUCUGCCAUUUUUUCUCUCUUCCUUCGUCCUCCUCAUAAUAUCUAAUAAAAACGAUUUUGGUUCAUAUUUGAAUCCCAGGUGUAUCUACAUGUCCUAUGCACAUGUCAUUCUUCCAUAUGUCUGAUGUUUGUGUAUCCAAAUGUCUUAUGUAUCUUCCUUUCAUCUAUAUAUCUACCGUUCUUCUCCUUAUUCUAUGUAUUUUGUUUAUUUAUUAAAUGUAUAUGUAUUUUCUAUUAAAUAUAUAUGAGUUGUAGAGUUCAUAUUGCUCUAAAGUUUGAUUUUAUAAACUUUUACAAAUUAGGUUUUACAUUGUUUGCUAGCUUUUGUUGUUUCUCAAAUUUUAAUGAAUGACCAUUCAUAAAACAGGUCGAAAAUAGAUCUAAGUUUAAGAACGAUCCUUUAAAAUUGUUGAAUACAUGUAUCUCACCUUUAAUUCAAAUUAAUAGCACGUAUCUCGAUUUUUAAUACUGUUGGAUACACAUAUCUCACUUUUAAUGAUACAUGUAUCUCGCGGUCAUGAUUUGUUCCUAAAAUUUGUGUGUUUCAGUUGCAUUUUAUAUUUAGAUCCACAUAAUCACAUGUCUAUACUUACUAUGUAUUCGAGAUACAUGUUUUUGAAUAUAAUGUAUGAAAUUGAUACAUCAAAUUAAUACUAGAUACGUGAAAUUAAAACUAGAUCAUAUAAAUAGAUACAUGAAAUUAAUACUUGACACAUAUAACAAAUACACGAAAUUAAUACUAGAUACUUCUAUGAUACAUAUGAAUGUACUUGUAUAAUACUCAUGUAUCUAAGUAUUUAGUUUGUUGGAUACAUCAUAUAUAGAUAAUAGAUACAUCAAAUUAACGAAUUUAUUAUUUUAAGAGUACUAAAUGAAAUUAAUCAAAUUACAUGACCAAGAUAUACAUGCUUUUGUUUAUUACUAAUAAUAUAAUGAAUUUAUUAUUUCAAAGGAUAAUUUUGAAAUAAUAAAUUGAAAUUAAUUAAAUAUAGAUACACUCCUUGAUUUCCGCCUUAUGAUAAGCGAUUUGAUUAAUUUAAAUUUUCAGAAUUAAUUAUUCAUGUAUAUCCUUAAUUACUCCUCUAAUUAAGGAAAUUGGUUACAACCUAUUAAUUCAAACAAAUAAAAUAUGUAUCUCAUACAUGUAUCUCCAGAUUCAAUCUCAUGUAUCCUAAGUAUGAAAAUAUGGUAGAGGAAGUAAUAUUUGAAACUAUCGGGAAUCUUAGUAAUUAGGACCUAAACUAGUGGGAUUUAUGUAGUUUGCCCUUUUAUUUAUCUGGAUAUUUUUCUUUAAUUUAAACCUCACACUUCCAUAGACUAGUCAAAAACAACAUCAAUAAUAUCCCUUAAGUCGGGAUUUAAGAAAGGUAAAUCUGAAGUAUUUUAAAAGUGUUGGCUUAUCUGAGAAUUAGAUGUUACUUCCUCCGUUUCAAUAUGUCUGUAUGUAUGGUUUUCACUUGACAUGGAAUUUAAUAAAAAAAUAAAAAAAAUUAUAUCUUGUGGUCUAAAAUUAAAAUAUGUAGAAUGUACCAUGACCCACUGUUGACACCCAAUUUUGGCCUAAUAUUUUCAAAAAUUCAUAACUUUUAAGUUUUAUUUAUUUAAUAGUUCAAGAUAAUUUUUUUUAUAAUUUUAAAUAAGUUUAUCGAUAACUAUUCUUAUUUAUCAAAAUUUAGAAAUUUUUUUUCCUAGUUAAUCUUAAAAUUACACUUUUUACAUGUCAUUAGUUAUGUUCAUUACAUUUUUUAAUAUUUAUUUUUAAUAUAGUUCAGAAAUUCAUUUCGAUGUGGAUAAAAUUUCUUACACAUAUAUUUUGGGCCACAACCUUGAGCCCAUGACUUGGGCCCAUUGAUAAUUUCCAAUUCUCUACAUAUAGAACUAACACAUUAGGUUAAAGGGGGUGGUGAAUUUAUUUUUAGAAUAAGGUCAUAAACUUUUCAGAUUUUUGUUCACAAGGGGUUUCCGGUCACCACCACCCCGGAAUCCGGCGAAGCUCCGGCAAUACAAAACCCCGACUCAAAACCUCCAUUUUCUUUCCUUCACUGUUCAUCCUUAAAGAAAACACCACCAAAGAACCUCCAAAAUUCGUCUUCUCUCCCCAAUGCCGUUUCCGGCAAGACAACGAACCAAAACAUCCACCAAACCCAUCUUUGUUCCCUUUCUCAUUUUCCGGUGAAAUAAAAACGACCCUAAAUCCACCAGAAAUCCCACACAAACCAGACCACCACAAAAACCCCUCGGAACCGGUCCCUUCCCCUCUCCCUUUUUACGAUUUUUAGUCCAUUUUUGCAAGUACUCCGGCGAGGUCUCAAAGCUCCAGAACCCAUCUUCGGCGAAACGACGCCAAUAACCACAAACUCCGGCGAAGCUUCAUGCCAUGGCUAUGACGACGGUCAGCAACAACAAACCACCAUGAAAUAACCAAAUCCGGCCUUCUAAGAGAAAAAACUUUCAGAUCUGCCCGGAAAGGUAAUAAUUUUGACAACCGUAUUUAGUCAUUGUUUUGUUCUCAUGUUUAUACUAAUUAUUGUAUUAUUUUUCAUAAUGUUGUGUUGUUACACAUAAUUUUAUCAUUAUUGCUAUCAUUAUUUGUGUAUAUUGUGGGUUUGUCUCCAUUUUAUAUUGUUAUUUUCCUUGUAUUUAUUUGAUGAGUUAUUUAGUCACAGUUGGAGUAAUUGUGUUCUGCUUUAAUUAUAUGUUGGUAUUUAAUUAUUAUUGUUGUUAAUGUUCAUUUUGUGGGUUAUCCGCUUUAUAUUAACUAUGCACUAGUUAUUAUUAGUUGUUAUUUUUUAAUUUUUCGUGUUGAGUUUUGUUAACUAUGUUAUUAAUCUUUGCAAAUGUUGGAAAAAUAAAGAAAUAUUCAGCAACUUUAUUUUGGUUUCUGGAUGACACGUAAUGUUACUUGUGACAUAUAUAUAUUUAAUUUAUUAUGCUGCAAUCAUUUAGAUUUUCAAAAGUUGGGUAGUAAUUAGUUUUUUAUAUAUUCUUUAUUACUUAUUGGUUGUUAUCUUGUUUUCUUGUUAUUUUGGACCACUAUAAUGUUGUAUAUCGUUGGUUUGAUUAUUCUGUUGUUGAAGAUUUAUUCCAAUGGAGUUUACAUUAUUUUAAUAUUGGCUAAUUUUGAUUAUCUAUUACGUUCUUUCAUUCGCUAAAUUUUUGUUUGAUGCUACACUUGUUUAUAUAUUUACUUGUUAAAAUUGGCCAAUGAAAAAAUCUCUCCGUCGAUUUUGGAGGCCUCCAUAUUGUAAAAGACGGAAAUUUAGUUUAAGUUCAUAUUUGUUACAAGUUGAAAUUGACCAAUGAGAAAAUCUCUCCAUAGAUUUUGGAGGCCUUUACAUUGUAAAAAACGGAAAUUUAGUUUAAUUUCAUAUAUUUUGUUUGUUCAAAAUGGCCAAUGAAAAAUUCCUCCGUCGGUUUUAGAGGCUUUUCCAUUUUUUAAAGACGGAAAUUUAGUUAAUGUUUAUAUUUUUAUAUGUCAAAAUCGGCCGAUGAAGAAAUUACCGUCGAUUUCCAAGGUCUCCCAUUUUAAUAAGACGAAUUUUUAUUUUUUAAGUUAUUGUACAAUUCAUUUAUUUUUAUUCAUAUUUAUUUAUUACUAACACUUUUACUAAGUAUCUUUAUAGGUACCCGGAGCUGCUUCCCAUUGAAGCUAUUCGAACAAAGUUCGAACAAUAUUUUGAUUCAUUGUCGUAUAUUAUUGACGAUAGACAAAUCUAGGUUGUUUCUUAUAUUAUUUUAUUUUAUUACUUGUGUAUCUUGUUAUGUUUGUUUUAUUUAUAUAUUAUUUUUAUCUCCUCCUCAAUUUGAAAAAGUGAACUCAGUCGGGACCCACAAUUGUGGAUUUCGAAGGAUGCCUAACCCCUUCCCUUCGAAAUAACUUGAAUCCCUUACCUAGAAUCUCUUGGUUUCGUAGAUUAAUUAAUUGGUUUCCUAGUUUUCCUAAAAUUAGGUGGCGACUCCUUUAACAUUCCUUUAAUCAAAAAAUUUUUUUAAAAAUUGAAUCAAUUGUUUAUUUUUUGAGUCAUCGCGACGUUUCGUCCUAUUCGAAUAGAGUAGGGAUGUAAACACCCACUAAUUGGUUCAAUGACUUCAAAAUUCCACUGGAACAUUGUCUUGUUAAAUCAUGUCUUCAAUUAUUGUUUUUUUAUUUUUCUCACUUGACUUAGUCAAGCAAUAGUAUCUCUCAUUGGAAAUUUGUUACAAUUCACAUUGUUUUGCAUAACACUCACUACAAAGAUAGUGGAUGACCUCAAAGUGAAACAACAUUUAGAGAAAACAAAUAUGAAAUAAUUGGUACUAGCAACCAAAGACUUUGAGUCUUUAUGGAACUUGACUUAACAUUAGGGACUAAAAAAGCAACAUAGUGGAUGACCUCGAAAUGAAAACAACAUUUAGAGGAAAAAACUAUGGAAUAAUUGGUACUAUAGCAACCAAGACUUAAAAGACUAAAAGACUCAUUAAUGUUGCAUUACAUGCAUAUUCUAAGUAAUGUUGCAUUACAUGCAUAUUCACACGGUAUCAUUAAUGUUGCAUUAAAUGCAUAUUCUAAGUAAAGACAGGAGUUAAAUCAUGUCUUCAAUUAUUGUUCUUUUUAUUUUUUUCACUUGACUUAGUCAAGCAAUAGUAUCUCUCAUUGGAAAUUUGUUACAAUUCACAUUGUUUUUCAUAACACACACUACAAAGAUAGUGGAUGACCUCAAAAUGAAAACAACAUUUAGAGAAAACAAAUAUGAAAUAAUUGGUACUAGCAACCAAGACUUUGAGUCUUUAUGGAACUUGACUUAACAUUUGGGACUAAAAAAGCAACAUAGUGGAUGACCUCGAAAUGAAAACAACAUUUAGAGGAAAAAAAAUAUGGAAUAAUUGGUACUAUAGCAACCAAGACUUAAAAGACUUGAGUCAUUAUGGAAAUUGACUCAACAUUUGGGACAAUUUUUUUUACAACCACAAAUUAGUUUGUGGUAGAUGGGGGGCAAGUACCCCAUUGAGUUCGAAUCAUGAAGUUAGUAUCCGAGACAUGUAUAAUACACAAUUGCAAAUAGUAUGGACAAGAGGGGGUUGCUUAGGUGGUAGCACCUUCCACCUCUUAGCUUAAUGUUAAUUAUAUAUACUACUUUAUUCAUGUUUUAGUUUGACUCGGUGAAGAAGAUUCUUGAAUUUUGAUUGAUUAUGGGAGAAGGCGUGGAAAAAAACUCUAAAAAUUAUGUACUGAUAUUGUAUAAUAUUUUCCAUCUAUAUUGUUAUGAUUAAAGUCCUAACAAGAAUGUGUAUGUUGUAUUUUUUUCUUCUCUAUUUUUUUAUUGUUUGUUUUUCUUUCUAUUAGACUACUUUAAUUCGAUUUUAUAUGAAUUUCUGAAUGUCGUAAAUAUGUAUUUUUAAUUGGUGACUUGAUUGAAAUUUUGCUAACUAGUAACUAAAAUUUAAAAUUUACCGUUACUAGCAUGAAAGGAAUUAAAUUUUAAACAAUAAAAUACGACCCUCAUUUAAUGUUCUUGUCACAAUACUUUUAAAUUAUUGUUUUUAUAAUUAUUGCAUUUUAUUACUCAUUAGAGGAAUAUUUUCACAAAAAUUACACAAGUGUAACUCAUAAACUAGUAUAUAUAUGUGGAUAAUGAUGAUUGAUUUGUAAGAACGAACAUUCUGUUAUUUGUUGAAUACAAUUUUUUUUUUAAAAAAAGAUGGGAAUUCUCUUUUUCUUUUAUUCACUUGUCUGUUUUUUGUUGGUAAUUAGUGAAAGCAUUUCUUCUUCCUCUGUGAUGAUGCAUCAUGUUUACUCUCCCACUGAAGCUUUUGCUUUGCUUCACUUCAAACAAUCCUUUCAAAUCUCUGACCAACCUAGCUGUUGGGAUGAGACUGAUCUGCAUUAUGAGAGAUAUUUUGAUAUCCCAAAAACAAAGUCUUGGAAUGAGAGUAGGGAUUGCUGCAGUUGGGACGGGGUCACUUGUGACAUGUUAACCGGUCAUGUUAUCGGAUUGGACCUUAGUUGCAGUUUGCUUUUGGGUACUAUUCAUCCCAAUAGCAGCCUCUUCCAACUCCAUCAUCUCCGGACACUAAACCUUGCUUGCAAUGACUUGUAUUCUUCUUCAAUCCCGCAUAACAUUGGCCGAUUGAGGAAUUUGAGGCAUCUCAACCUUUCUUAUUCUUUCUCUGGAGGGGAAAUCCCAACAGAAAUAUCAUACCUUUCCAAUUUGGUUUCACUUGACCUUUAUUGUUAUGAAUGUGAACUUGAUGAGAGAACAUUUGAAACAAUUCUUCAAAACUUCACAAAUCUGGAGGUAGUUUCUCUCUAUUGUGUCAACAUCUCAUCUUCAAUACCUGUGAAUAUUUCUUCGUCCUCGUUAAGGUACGUGAACCUUGUAAAUACUAAUCUGCGAGGUGUUAUCACAGAGAGCUUUUUCCUUCUGCCAAAUUUGGAAAGGCUCUAUUUGAGUUGGAAUGAUCUUCUCAAAGGAGUUUUACCAAAGAUCCACCCGAGCAACACUCUGUUGGAGUUGGAUAUUUCCUACACAGGAUCUCCGGUGAGCUGCCUGAUUCAAUUGGCACCUUGAGUUCAUUGAAUCUCUGAACAUGUAUAGAUGCCAAUUCUCUGGUUCCAUUCCUGAAUCCAUUGGCAAUCUUACACAAAUGCGGAAAUUGAAUUUUGGAAAUAAUCAUUUCACCGGCUAUAAUCCUUCCACAAUCUCUAAAUUGAAGCACCUCACAUCCCUAGACCUUUCGUCCAACUCCUUUUCAGGUGAAAUUCCCGAUAUUUUUUCUAACCUCCAAGAGCUAUGUUAUUUAUCUCUUUUUGACAACAGCUUCAUCGGUUCGUUUCCUUCUACAAUUGUAAGAUUGACACAACUUCAACACUUAGACUUGUCGCACAACUCACUGAAUGGUACCAUACCAUCUUCGGUCUUUAGCCUCCCUUUGCUAUCUUCAUUGUCGCUCCAACAUAAUCAAUUUAGUGGACUAGCCGAUGAGUUCAAAACAAACCCAACAUUAGAACACCUAGAUUUAAGCCAUAAUCAACUCAGUGGUUCUUUUCCUCAGUCACUUGCGAGUCUCACAAACCUUUCUACCCUCAUCCUUUCAUCAAAUAACAUCACCGUCAAUGAGGGAAUACAAAUCACUUUUCCUAGCCUAGAAGUUUUACAGUUAUCGUCUUGUGAACUGAAGGAUUUUCCACACUUCUUGACAAAUGUGAAGUCACUUAGGAUCUUGGAUAUUUCUAACAAUAAGGUUCGUGGCCAAAUCCCAAACUGGUUUAGCGGCAUGAGGUGGGACAACUUGUGGUACCUAAACCUUUCGCAUAAUUCUUUAACAGGCCACCUACAACUAUUUCAUUUCCAUAAUCUAGAGUAUCUUGAUCUUAAAUUUAACUCCCUUCAAGGUCCAAUACCUUCAUCCAUUUGUAACAUGAACGAUCUUCAAUUUCUACUUUUAUCACACAACGACUUCAGUAACUCGAUUCCAAGUUGCUUGGGAAGCAUGUCUAGUCUAACAGUGUUGGACUUAAGAAGGAACAAUUUCACUGGGAGUCUUCCAUCGUUAUGUGCGCAGAGCACUUCAUUGAGUACCAUUGUCUUGAAUGGUAAUCAAUUUAAAGGAACUCUCCCUGUGUCGUUGCUCAACUGCAGUGGUUUAGAAGUUCUUGAUUUGGGGAAUAACGCUAUAAAUGACACAUUUCCUGCUUGGCUAGGAACACUUCAACAACUGCAGGUCUUAAUAUUAAAGUCCAAUGUGUUCCAUGGACCAAUUAGUACUUGUCAGAGUAGGUUUUGCUUUCCCAAGUUGCGAAUUUUUGAUCUUUCGCAUAACAAAUUCAGUGGCUCUCUACCUGCAAAAGUUUUUGGAAACUUCAAGGCAAUGAUUAAAUUAGACGGUGAAGACACACGAGAGAUCAUGUACAUGAUGCCAUCUAUAAUGCCAUUUUACUCAUCAUCAUAUGAGGAUUCUGUGAGUUUGGUGAUCAAAGGGCAGGAUAUUGAGCUAGAAAGAAUCAGCACAAUUAUGACAACCAUAGACCUCUCGUGUAACCAUUUUGAAGGUGUCAUUCCGAAAACACUAAAGGAUCUCAGCUCACUUUGGCUACUCAAUUUAUCCCAUAACAAUCUCAUAGGUCAUAUUCCAAUGGAAUUGGGGAAAUUGAAUAAGCUUGAAGCAUUAGAUCUCUCUUGGAAUCGGCUCACUGGAAAGAUUCCGCAGGAAUUGACAAGGCUAACAUUUCUGGAAAAGUUAAACCUUUCUCAGAAUGUUCUCGUUGGACCAAUUCCUCACGUUCUACAAUUCAACACAUUUGUAAAAUAGACUCGUAUGGCGGUAACCUUGAUCUAUGUGGUCCUCCUUUAUCAAGCAAUGUGGAACGAAGUGAUCUAUCCCAUGUUCCUCAACCAUUGGAGUCUGAAGACGAGUCAUAUUUUUUUAGUGGAUUUACGUGGGAAUCAGUAGUCAUUGGCUACAGCUGUGGACUAGUUGUUGGAACUGUUGUGUGGAGCCUCAUGUUUAAAUAUCGUAAGCCCGAAUGGUUUGUCAAUUUUUUUGAAGGCAUUUAUCCCAAGAAAAUGAGAAUGUCAAUGAAGAGAGCUCAGAGACGACGGACUUAAUGGAAGAUUGCAGGAGUGGACUUUUCUGUUUUUUUAAUCUUCUUUUUGUUGUUUGUAUAUGCUUGAUAGCAAUAUAAUUGCAUGUAUUGUUUUGUGAAUUUCCACUGCAUUAAAAUUAGUGUUCUCCAAUCAAUAAUUCCUUUAGCAUAUAUAAAAAAAUUAAAACUCAAAAUAAGAACAAGAGGACAUAAAACAUAACUUUCCUUUGUACUAAAACAAUUUAUUCAAUUACAUUCUUGAGUUUAAGCAACUUCAACAUGUUUGAUAAUAUCAUCUGAUCAAAUAAUUUAUAUUAAAAAUGAUGGAUUUAAGAUCACUCAAAUCCUCUUAUAAAUUGAUUAUUGUAUAAUGGUGAUCCUCAUGCCUUCCCUUAAUUGAGAGAAUGAGCCAAAGUUGUCAUGACAUGAGCUUGAUCUGAAAUAAUUUGUGUAGUUGAAGGAUUUUGUCCCAAAACAAUAUAAUACAAUAACCAUCAUCAUAAUUAUCCAUUCCAUGUGCCAUUAGUUGCCAUACUAAACUUCCUCCCAUAUUGUUCCACCUUCUUUUGCCAAAUUAUACACAUUUCUAUAUACACUACUCAUAAAUAUAUCUCUUGAUCCUUGACCUCUACUAGACUUUCCAAAUUCAGCAAGCACUAAAGGUUUCUUUAAUAUAUUUCUUGCAUCUUCCCAAUGACUUGUUAUCCACUUUUCCAUCCACACCAAUUGUGCUUCAUCACUUUGUCCAGAUACCCUAUAACGAUCGCUAUAAAGAAAUAUUUAGACCUAUUUAAUGAAAACAUAUGAAAUUGUACGUAGAGAAAAGAUGUAAAAACUACCAUUGGUCAGUGUAUGCAUGGAUAGUAGCAAAAUCAAUCUCAUUGAUAAGAUGGUUACUAAUGAAAUCUGUUCCAACUUGAUAGCCAGGAUUAACUGAUUUUCUUUCAGGAAUUGAAUCACCAUAAAAUCCCUCCAUUCCAACCUCUAACAAGUGCUUGUUGUCUAAUGACUUCACAAAACUUGCCAUUUCUUGAACCCAAUAUUAGUCAUUUAACAAUAUUAGUCAAAAACGUCAAUCACAAAUUUGAUAUUUCUAAAAUUCAAUUAAUUAAACUUGAAUUGGGACUUACAUUAACAGUUUUUCCUGAAUAGUCAGCUUGAUCGCGAGGCUCAUUUAUGAGUUCCCAUGCCAUAAUUGUUGGAUCAUCUUUGUAAGCAACUUUAGUAAUACUAUUCAACCUUGUACCCACUUUCUGUAACAAUUUCAUAAUAUUAUUAAUAAAAAAAGUUGUUUAUAUGUAUUAAAUAAUAAUUACCCCAUAUAUUCCUCAAUAUGGUUCUUCAAGUAUUUUUUGAGCAUAGGAUGAGUAUAGAAUUCAUCGUCAUUACUAAUCUGAGCUCCUGCAUUUCGUGCCCACCAAACAUAUUGAGCUUUUCCUCCAAAAUCAUUCCAUUGAUUUACAAAGCUCAAGAUUAAAUGAACACCAUAUUUCUUAGCUUCCGCGAUCACAAAAUCCAAACCCUAAAUUUAGAACAAGUAUAUCUAAUCAAGGGACUGAUCACAUGCAUUACAACGCGAUAAUGUAAAAAAGUUAUCAAAACUAUAAUAACAAACGUCCUUUACCUGAAAAACACGUUCAUCAUAAACACCAGGUGAUAUUUGUAAUGCUCUAUCACCUCCAUCACUAAAAGCCCAAGUACGACAAACAGAAAGACCAGCGGUAGAAGCAUCUUUAAGAACCUCAGUGACUUUGUAUCUUUCAGUAGGGUCAGCAGAAACAUGCAUCAACCAAUAUGAGUUGAAACCAUUGAAUAGAAAAGGGGAUCCAUUGAGUUCAAAAUGAGAAUCUUUAACUCCUAUAACCCCGAAUUUGCUUCACAAGCAAGAGCUAAGAACAAGAGAAAGAGCCCAAAAAUGCAACUUCUUUUUGUAUAAGACAGUUUGUAUAAUGAAUUGUAGAAGAUAUAUGUGUGAUAUGUUAGAUGUCACCUUUUAUAGUGUGUUGAAGAUAAGGAAAUUUACUAAAAAUAGCAAAACUUGCAAAAACUAAAAAAAAUUCCUAGUGGAUAUAAUUGGAUAUUGAGAUUUUAUGAAAAAAUAUAUUUUUUAAGGCAGUUAUUUGGUUAAGAUAGAAACAGAGUUUUGUUGAAAAAUUUGUAUGGGAAGAAAAGAAGAAGAAAAAUAUGGAAACAUUAAUUGGUUAGUUUUUUUUAAGGUUUGUUCACUACUAGAUUUGAUGAUGAAAUAAUACUGAAACGUGUACUCAUAGUAUUUGAUAGUAAUAUACUUGAAUAUAUAAUGCAAAUACCUGAAGAACUCUUUCAUAAAUUUUAAUUUCUAUGUGGAUGUGUUAUGUGUGUAAUUUAAUCUUAUUUUAUUGCAAGGAAUUGAGACAAAAUAAAAAUAAAAAUAAAAAUAUUUUUAAAAAAAAGUUAAAAGAGAAAUGAAGAGGGCAUAACAUUAUUUGGGGUUAUUCGAAAUAAGAUGUUCUGACCACUUAUAAAAUGAAUAUGAAAAAAAUAACAUUUUAAAAUUUCUUAUGUCUAAAAAUUAAAAACUCUCGUAAAAAAUCAUAAAAUUAAAAUAAAAUAAAAUUGUAGUGGCCUACAAUUUACAGAAACUCAAUUUAUAUACUUGAUUAGAAUAUGGGUACUUUUAGUUCCAUUGUUUGAGAAGUGGAGAAAAGGAAUUUAGGAAGAUGCAUUCUUAAAGAAUAAGUGGAUUACUUAUUUAUUUUCUGACGUGAAUAAGUGAAUUUCUUACUUAUUUUUUGGUGUCAUAUUUAGGAUCUUUGAUGUUUAUUCUAUGCACAUUUGACAAAUUUCAUAGUCCAUAUGAGAGCGGCGACUAUCGCAUUGAGGACUAUAUGUCCCAAGUAUCGUUUUGGAUGAAGUAGUUACGAAUUUAAACUUAGAAUAUGCGAAUUUAAAAUAAGUGUGAUCUUAUUAUACAUGAAGGCGGAUGCAAUAAUUUAACUAUGAGUUCAGUCAAACUCAAUAUUUUUUUCACAUAACAUAUGUGUAGAAGUCAAAAAAACAAAAACAAAUAGAGAUUAUGUAUCCAUAAUUAAAAAGUACAAUUAGUUCAGUUUAAAUUCUAAAUUCAACCCAGAGUAUAUGUAUAUGGAGUGGAAGUUGAAAACAAUAUGUUCACUUCAACUCAGAACUCGCCCUGAAUCCGCCUCUGGAAGUAACCAAUUAUUCCAGGGCUAUGGAGGAAAAGUUGAAAAGAUUGUCCCCAAAAUACUAUUAUAUACCAAUAUAAAGUAAGAUUUGACUUAUACAGUAUAAUUUUCCGACGAAGAGUGCUCAGCUGACCACCCAGGAACCACCGUAGCUCUGCCCAUGGUCCUGAGAAGUAACCAUCUAUUCUAGGAGUUUGGAGGAAAAGUUAAAAACAUCAUCCCCGAAGCCUGGAUCAGUAAUAGUGAAAUCACAUGGCUGCUGCUGUUGCUGCAAAUUAUCAUCAGUGCAAAUACUGUAAUUCCCAAAUGGACUAGAUUGAAGUACAUUCUUCCACAUAUCACUAUUUUCUUGUUGUAUAUUACUAGUAUAUUUUGGUGUCGAUUCAUAAAAAUCGCUUCCAUCAAACAUCUUUAUUUGAGAAGUCUGGUGCACUAAGCUCUCGUUAUGUGUUCUAAAACAAAAAAAAUAAUUAGCUACGAGCUACUUCAUCCGUUCCUAUUUAGUUGUCCUGUUAGGCUAUUGUUUUACAGAAUUCUUAAGAAAAAAUUAGUUAGGAGUGUAAUUUGACUAAUAUAUAUCUUAUUAAUUUUUUAUCUUUAUUUAUUUCCAUAAAUAUCAUGUCAAGUCAAACGAUGCACCUAAAAUCGAACGAAAAGAGUACUUUUUUUUCUUGAUUUAUUGAAUUGAAAAAUAUUUAAAAAUAAUUAUUUUUAAUAUACACAACAACUAAACGAGACAGUAUUUAGCAAUGAACAAAUGACCAAAUUUGUAGCUAAUUUGGGGUCAUCAUUAGUGUUCAUAUCAGUCCAUUUAAGCUUAUCUUAGUUUUUAAUAAUAUAAGUACUUCAAAUACUCUAUAUCUUCGUGUAUAAAUCUCUUAACAAAAAAUAUAAUUUUCUAAUUAGGCAGCAUAAUUCACUAAGCAUUUCGAGUUCACACAGAAUUUGACAAAAAAUGACUCACUCCAACUCCUAAGUGGUGAGAUCUAAGCCACCUAUACCCUAAUACAAGGAUGUUCAUAAUACAAUUUUAUCGUAUCAUCAAAUUAAACAGUAUCACAUAAAAUAUAACGAAGAAAGUACUAAAAUUUGUAAUAAUUAUUUUACCUUUGUGUGUGAUUGAGCAAGGAAGUGCAAUUAGGACGAACAAAAGCAAGAGCAGCAGCAUCUCCAAAGGUAAAAUAAGAGGUGUCAAAUGGACGAGUCGAGAUGAAUUUUUGAAGAGUUUGUUGAGGAAGUAAGCAUUUUUUUGAUGCAGGACUAUUUAAUUCUUCAGGAGGAUGAGCAAAUGCUUUGUGAAAUAUAGCCAACAUUGUAUCUUUUUUUAGCUUCAAGAUGAAUAUCUAACAACAAUAUAAAAAAAAUGGUUACUGAAGGAGGAUAUAUAUAUAUAAUACACUUUUUACAUUAAUGUUUUUGUUUUUAUUUUUAUUUUUAUAGUAUAAUAAUAAUAAUAAAGGAGGCCAAAGAUGACAUAUGUCAAUUUUAUUUUGGAGUGAUAGUGUGACGUGACAAUGAUGAGGAUGGAUAAGGUUUCUCGUAUUCCCAUGAUGUCUUUAUCCAUUUAGAUUUUAUUAAGAAUUUUAAUAUGAAAUAAUCCAAACUAUAUUAAAUUGAAAAAAUAAUUAAAUCUAAAAAUAUCUCUCUUUAUCACAGUUUGAUUCAAAACUCAGUAUCACUAAUAGUUUAUCCAAAAAUGCUCUUUUCUUAUUUAAUGGAUUAUUUUUUUAAAAAAAAUAUGUAUAUAUAUUAUAUACUAUUAAACACAUUUUAUUUAUUAUAAAAUAAGUUAGUAAUAACUUUUUCUUAAGUCAAAAUAAAAAUAACAUGACUAAAUGUACCUUUUUUUUUUACUAAUAACAUAUAUAUUAUACAUUACAUUAUAUUAUAUCAUAUAUUAUAUUAAAUUAAAUUAAAUUAUAUUAUACAUUAGUAUAAGAGGCUAGAACACACAUGUUGACGAUGACAUGUGUGUUUCUUGGAAUUAAAUUUCUUAUUGAAGGGCAUUCUUGUAAUAUAGUAUUAAAAGAAUUUUAAUAAUUUUCAUAUAUUUAGAAAUUAUGUAAUUAAUAUUAUUAAUUAUAAUAAUUAGUAAUUUUUAAAAAAUAUAAAAAAAAUAUCAGUCAACUCUCAAAUUUUAUUGGUGUCACAUAAAUUGGGAUAAUAGAGUAAAAUUAUUUUUAAUAAUUUAUAUAUUUACAAAUUUUAUAAACUAUAAAUUGCAAUAUAAAUGUCUCUAAAUUUUUUUUUCGAUGAUUAAUAUAUUGUAUAGAAAUUCACAUUAUUUUUUAUUCCUUAUCUGUUUAGUUAUUAUUUAUUUCUCCAAAUAUUUUAUUUCUGAUUAUAGUUUUCUUUUUGUUAAGCUUUAUGUCAGCUGUGGAGGCGAGCCGAAUUAUUUUUUUCUAUAAAAAGGAAGAAAUUGAGCUUAAAACCACUUGAAGUGGGGCCAACAAGCUUUAACAAAUCUGUGGGUGCUUAUAAAAUGUUUAGCGGUCUAUAUUCAAAAUUAGAGGAUAUAAAUAUCAGCUGAAAUUAAAUUAAAUGAUAUUCAUUAUGUCUUUAAUUUAACACUAUUUUAUCCAUUCCAUAUUAGAUAAACACUUUCUAUACUAUAUAGUGAUUAAGAAAUCAUUAAUAAAUUGAUCAACUUUACUAUUUUAUCCUUUAUUCAUAUCAAUUCCUAUCAAAAUAAGUUAGAAAAAACCAUACAAAGAGUAUAGAAAUAACUAGUAUUGAGAAUUGUUCACAUUCAAAAGGCCAUAUUGAUUGUAAUUUGUAGUAAGUGAUUAAGUAAUAUAAGAUAACUAUUUUUAAUAAGAUCCUUAAUAAAAUCGGUUAUUAUUGAUAUCUUCUUUUCGGUUCCUUUUCCAUAAGUCCAUAACCAUUGCUCAGAAAAGAAAGAGAUAAGAAGACUAUGAAAAAUAUGCUCAGAAAUCCAUAAUACAAUCGGCCCAUAACGAUCAAAUUGAUUAUCUUCAUACUCAAAUCGAAGGAGUAUGAAAUUAAAAUAAUAUAUUUUUAAUUUCGAUUUACGUGACAUUGUUUAACUCAAUGUGAUUUUGAAAAAUAGAUUCUUUUUGUGAUCUAAUCAAUCAAUUGUAUGGAUUUAAAAAAUAGUUAAUAUUUGAAAUUUUGCAUGUGCCACAUAAAUUAGAACAAAGAGAGUAAUAAAUAUUAUUUUCAAAAUUCUGUAAAAAAAGGUACUACAAAUCACAAUAGCUAACAAUUUAAAAUAUUUUUACAAUCAUAUAAAAAUUUCAAUAACUUCUCAAAUUUCAUAAUAUAUGACAUAAGAAGAGGGAAUAACCAAUAUAUUUAUAAAAAUAAAUGACAUAUAAAAUGAAAUGGAGAGAGUAUUAGUUUUUGAAAAUGGAAAAGGACAAAACACAUAUAAAAUUAAAACACAUAUAAAAAACAAGUUGGUUUAACUCUCAAACAUAAAAAGUAACAUAUGUUAUUAAAAACUUUAAUAAAAAGUACUAUAAUUUACAAUAAAUAAUAACUUAAAAUAUCUACAAGAGAACAAAAAAAAGACUAAUUUUUGUACUGCUUGUGUCACAUAUAUUAGGAUUGGGAUGAUUUUAAAAUUUUAAUUUUGGUUAUACAUUAUAAAAUAGCCGAAAAAUUGAAUGAUAUAAUUUUUUUUAAAAUAACCGAAUGAAUCGUCCUAUCGAUAACCCUAAUGUUACUUCUACUCUGUUUAUUUUUACUUAAAUUUAGAAAGAUAUGCUUCAUUUCUACCCUCAAUCUUAUCGCUACAUUUAUUUGCUAUUUAAAAUUGAAAUUAAAAAGACAAAUGACAAAUAAGUUUCUAUAUUAGCUCACUUAUGAGCAAAAUAUAUUAUAACAAUCUUUACUAAUUUUAUAACAAUACAUAAACUAUACUCCCUCCGUCCCAUAUUAGAUGGGCACUUCCAACUUUACACGGUGAUUAAGAAAUCAUUAAUACAUUGGAAGACUUCACCAUUUUGCCCUUUCUUUAUAUCAAUGCACAUUGAAAUGAGUUACAAAAAAUACACAUACAAUAUAGGAAUGGUCAUAUUAAUUGUAGGGGUAAAAUGGAAAAGAAUUAAUUAAUUCUAUCCUAAUUUAAUAAGUGCUCAAAUAAUAUGAAAAAUAAAAAUUUAGUAAGAUUCUCAUCUAAUAUGGGACGGAGAGAGUAUUAGUUUUUGAAAAUGGAAAAGGACAAAACACAUAUAAAAUUAAAACACAUAUAAAAAACAAGUUGGUUUAACUCUCAAACAUAAAAAGUAACAUAUGUUAUUAAAAACUUUAAUAAAAAGUACUAUAAUUUACAAUAAAUAAUAACUUAAAAUAUCUACAAGACAACAAAAAAAAGACUAAUUUUUGUACUGCUUGUGUCACAUAUAUUAGGAUUGGAUGAUUUUAAAAUUUUAAUUUUGGUUAUACAUUAUAAAAUAGCCGAAAAAUUGAAUGAUAUAAUUUUUUUUAAAGUAACCGAAUGAAUCGUCCUAUCGAUAACCCUAAUGUUUCUUCUACUCUGUUUAUUUUUACUUAAAUUUAGAAAGAUAUGCUUCAUUUCUACCCUCAAUCUUAUCGCUACAUUUAUUUGCUAUUUAAAAUUGAAAUUAAAAAGACAAAUGACAAAUAAGUUUCUAUAUUAGCUCACUUAUGAGCAAAAUAUAUUAUAACAAUCUUUACUAAUUUUAUAACAAUACAUAAACUAUACUCCCUCCGUCCCAUAUUAGAUGGGCACUUCCAACUUUACACGGUGAUUAAGAAAUCAUUAAUACAUUGGAAGACUUCACCAUUUUGCCCUUUGUUUAUAUCAAUGCACAUUGAAAUGAGUUACAAAAAAUACACAUACAAUAUAGGAAGGGUCAUAUUAAUUGUAGGGUAAAAUGAAAAAGAAUUAAUUAAUUCUAUCCUAAUUUAAUAAGUGCUCAAAUAAUAUGAAAAAAUUUAUUUUAGUAAAAUUCUCAUCUAAUAUGGGACGGAGAGAGUAACAAUAUAACUUUAUUAAUGUUGGGCCCGGGCAGCGCCCGGGCUUUCUUUACUAGUAUAUAUAUAUAAAAUAAUGUAGUAGUAGUCUGUUAAAGACAGCUAACGUCAAGAUUGACUAGUGUUGAAAAUGCUAACGUAGGAGCCUGCGUCAUUUAUAUUCUUUGGACCCAUUUUUUAAUGAAUUAAUGAUUGGCUGCACUAUUAUAUAUAUUGAGGAUUUUUGCAUAUAUUAAAUUAGGAAAAACAGACAAAUAAUGGAAACUGAAGAAAAUAUUGUAAUUGUUGGUGCUGGCAUAGCUGGUCUUGCUACUUCUUUGGCCCUUCACAGGUAAUAAUGGUUGCUUCCUUCGUCUCAGUUUAUGUGAUAGUUUUCGAUUUUUAAAAGUCAAAUAAUUUAAGUUUGAUUGAAAAUUUGUGUAUGAAAUCCCCUACCGUAAAAAGUACUAUAAAUCACAAUACUUGAUAAUUCAAAAUGUUUAAAAGAUCUAUGAAAAACUUAUGGUUAAAGAUACUCUUGUUUGAAUCUCGAAAUAUGAAAAGUGCCACGUAAAAUAGGAUAGGGAUAGUAUUAUAUUUCGUGUAUAUACUUGUUCAAUAAUCACAUGAUCUACUUCCAAAAGUUUGAUUUCUCAUAUCAUAAUACAAAAAUAUGCCUUGAUCUCAUGAACAUUUAUGCUCUUCAAUUUUGGAUGUGCAUAAGCAAACAUUUAAACUAUCUAUAAGUUAAAUAAGUAGACACACGUCCUAUGUGACAUAAUACACAUAGGAUGCAGAACUGCCACGUAGGAUGCCACACGGGACACGGGCGUUUACUUGUUCAACUUUUGAAUAGUUUAAGUUGUCUAUUUGUACACACUCAAAGUUGGAGGACAUAGAUGCUAGUUUGGGUCAGGUUAGAUGAUACAUUUAUGCAUUAGGCCUUUCUAGAAUAUGAUUUUUCUGGUAUAAUAGCUAUUAGUUGAGUGACGAUUUGAGAAAUAACUCGGCGGAAGGCGUGUCUUGUAUGUAAUAUGUAGGUUGGGGCUGCGGAGUAUUGUGUUGGAAUCAACAGAUUCGUUGCGAGCUACUGGAUUUGCAUUGGCGUUGUGGACUAAUGCCUGGAGAGCUUUGGAUGCAUUGGACAUUGGGGACUCUCUUAGACAACGUUCCUUAUCCAUUACUGGGUAUACCUCUUUAUUAUUAGUUAGGAUUUAGGAUUACUAACAACUUGAAGUUCAAUUUCGGAUUUUUAUGGUCAAAUGUGUUUUCCGGAGUUCUAGAUAUGGAAGAAAGUUGAAAAAUUGAUUGUCCAAAAUGCGUUCGAGUUGAUGUGCAGGCUUAAAAGUUUCUCAGCGGAUUCAGGUGCACCUAUCAAGGAGGUAUCAUUUGUGGGGAAUAACAGGUUAGCAUUAUAUCAAUUUUCGUAUUAGUUGGGGUCGGUUAUAUAAGUCCUUUUAUCUAUUCAUUUUAUGUAUGUUCAUUUUGUUCUAAAACAUAAUAAUUUAGUUUGAGAGACAAAUUCGAAAUUUCUCUAAAAUUAGAGGUUCUUUGAGUAUUGCAAUCUAUAUAGAGAUGUAUAAAUUUCUAACCAUCGAUAUAAAGACUCCUCACAAAGGUCGAAGUAAUGCAAGUACUGGUAAGAACAGCUAAUGUAUUUAACUUCUGGUUCUCACAGCAUCGAUCUUUGUAGAGAACAAUCACAUCUGUUUACGAAGGACUUAAGUGUGAAUCAAGGAUGCUGCAUACCGAAUUUUCUGAAUUGUUCACUAGUACUGAAUUGAUGUGGUUUUGUAUGUCUUUCUUCUGACUAUUGGAUGGACUGAUCAUUCGUCAGCCAACAUUUCUCUUUUUGAAGUCAAUAGUCAUCUAAGGUCAGUUAUAUUACGUUGCAGUGUGGAGUAUGAAAGUCGUUGUGUGAGAAGAAAAGAUCUGUUGGAGACAUUAGCUAAUGAACUGCCUCAAGGUGUGAUUAGAUAUUCUUCCAAAGUCGAUUCCAUUGAAGAAUCUGGACCAUUGAAAUUGGUACAUCUUGCAGAUGGUUCCACUAUUAGAACCAAGGUAAAUCUUUCUCUGAAAUUCUUAACUUGGAAUCCCUAUUAUUGGAAACUUCAACCAACGUGAUAAUUCAAACGUGUAUUUGACCAUUUAUCUCAAUUCCUUUCGUUAGUCUAGCUAGUACGUGACUAACUUUGUUAAGCUUCAAUUAAGGCCUUAAUUGGGUGUGACGGAGUCAAUUCUGUGGUGGCAAACUGGCUUGGGCUUCAGAAACCUGUCUAUUCUGGGCGCUCUGCAAUUAGAGGCUUUGUUGAGUAUCCGGAAAAACAUGGUUAUCAGCCUAAGUUCCACGCGUAUUUUGGAGGUGGAGUUCGGUUUGGAUUUCUUCCUAGUGAUGAGAAGAGUUUGUACUGGUUUUGCACAUUCACACCAUCUGUUGUUCAUUGUAAGCCAGCACCUACAUACUGUUUCUUUUGAAGAUUUACUUUUCGAAGGAUAUUUUUGUUGGCUAGAGAGCUUACCUCUCUGAAAGGGGAGCCUUGACGUAAUUGGUAAAGUUAUUGUCACGUGACCUAGAGGUUGCGGAUUUGAGCUGUGGAAACAGCCUCUUGCAGAAAUGCAGGGUAAGACUGCGUAUAAUAGACCCCUGUGGUCCAGACCUUCCCCGAACCCUGUACAUAGUGGGAGCUUAGUGCACCGAGCAGCCCAGAUAGCUUACAUUUCAUAAACUAGUCAUGUUUAGUUGUUCAUUUUAAUUGGGAUUUUAUGCAGUUGAUGGAAAUGCAGAACAAGAUCCAAUGAAAUUGAAGCAAUUCGUGUUGAACAAGGCUAGUAAUGUGUCUAAAGAACUCUCCACCGUUAUAGAGAGAACAACGCUCGACUGUAUAUCUGUCGCUCAGCUGAAAUUGAGAUUGCCAUGGAAUGUUCUGUUUGGGAAUAUUUUGAAAAAUAAUGUUUGCGUGGUAGGUGAUGCACUUCAUCCCAUGACUCCUGAUCUUGGUCAAGGUGGAUGUUCGGCUGUAGAGGACAGUGUUGUUAUCGCAAAGUGCCUUGGAGAAGCCUUGAUAAAACCGAUAACAGAACAAGAAGACGAUGAAUCUAUGAAUAUUAGGAAAGGACUCGAGAAGUAUGCUAAAGAGAGAAGAUGGAGAAGUUUUACAUUUAUCAGUGCUGCUUAUUUAUCUGGUUUCAUACAAGAGAGUGAUAACAAGAUAAUCAGUUUCUUAAGACAACAUUUUUUGGCUGGAGUCACUAUAUCAGUUACACUAAGAAUAGCUAACUUUGACUGCGGAAGACUAGCUGUUUCGUAGUAGCUCAGUUGGUUGGCUAUCUAAACUUUUACGUUAUUGGUGAGUGUUCGAUUCUCCACCUUGUAAUCACCUCUCCCUACUCCCCAUUUGCCUUUUUUUAUUUCUUUUUCAAAAAGCACAUCCCUUGAACCUCUAUGGUAGUAAUAAACAUGCAUGUCAAUUGCUUGAUUCACUCUCCACGCUUUUGAUGUUGUGAUCCCAUUCUUCUGAUUGAAAUAAUGUAAAAUGAACAAGAACUUAAAAUUGCCUAAUUAAGUAAGAGUUGAUUUUAGUUAGGCAGCACAACCCAAAUUAAUUUUACAUUUUGACAACUAAUUAAUCUCUACCAUGUGACAUGUUUAAGACUAUACCAUUUAUUCGACCUAAAUGGUAAGUAUGAUUCUCCUGUCUUCCAGUUGAAUGCAAAGCAAUCAACGAUAGGUUUGAGUAUCCAAAUUUAACUUAUAUAUACUAAGUCCACCUGGCUGAUCACACAUAAAGUCCACUAUCAGUAUAAUAGGUGACAAGUUGUUUGCCUUGAUUUCACAAAGAGUCACCCAUAAUUACUUUUACACAACUCGAUAAGUGAAAAAAUAUUAUUAUUAAUUUACAGUGAUUUUAAAGUUUUUUGUCCUGUCCACCUGGCUGAUCACACAUAAUAACACAGGCAGAUCUAGUGAAGAAGCUAUGAGUUCAUUCGAAUUCAAUAGCUUUGGUUUAGAUUCCUUAUGUGCGUUAAAAAGAAGAAGGUAGAGUAGUAUUGUUAUUAAAGGAAUAAAUGAAUUAUACAUUUUUCGACUUUCCAAGAUUAUCUUAGAUUAAGAAAUUCCCAAAUAAAUGGUUGUAGUGUUAUCAUAUUGUAAGUAUAUAUUUAAAGGUAGGGUAAGAUCCAUAUACACACACUACUCUUCCCUGACCGCACUUGUGGAAUUACACUAGGUAAGUUGUUGUAGCUGUUCGUGUGAUUUAGUUGUUGUGAACGACUAUAAAAGUUGGUUGUUAUGUGUACAUACUUGACACUACCCUUUUUUGUUAUGUGUAACACAUGUUUCUGUCUUUUAUGUCAGGAAAGUUGGUUCAUUGUAUGUCUCAAGUUCACAUUUCUGCUUUCUCUGUCGACCACUAGUUUUUUAGAAGAUUUUUCUGCAGUGUGUGUUACACAUGGUGUAAUCUUCAACACUGAUAUGGUGUGUGUAUAUAUAUAUUAGUAUAUGAUGAUUGAUUUUGCAAGAACAUCUUAUUAUUUGCUGAAAAUAAGCAAAAGAAGAUGGGACGUCUCUUUUUCUUUCAUUCACUUGUCUGUUUUUUGUUGGUAAUUAGUGAAAGCAUUUCUUCUUCCUCUGUGAUGAUGCAUCAUGUUUGCUCUCCCACUGAAGCUUUUGCUUUGCUUCACUUCAAACAAUCCUUUCGAAUCUCUGACCAACCUAGCUGUUGGGUUGAGACUCAUCUGCAAUAUGAGAGCUAUGAUAUCCCAAAAACAAAAUCUUGGAAUGAGAGUAGGGAUUGCUGCAGUUGGGACGGCGUAACUUGUGACAUGUUAACCAGUCAUGUUAUCGGAUUGGACCUUAGUUGCAGUCUGCUUAAUGGAGCUGUUCAUCCCAAUAGCAGCCUCUUCCAACUCCAUCAUCUCCGGACACUAAACCUUGCUUACAAUGACUUCAAUUCUUCUUCAAUCCCACAUAACAUUGGCCGAUUGAUGAAUUUGAGGCAUCUCAACCUUUCUCAUUCUUUCUUUGAAGGGGAAAUCCCAACAGAAAUCUCAUACCUUUCCAAUUUGGUUUCACUUGAUCUUUAUUGUGAUUACUGUGGUCUCCAACUUGAUGAGAGAACAUUUGAAACAAUGCUUCAGAACUUCACAAAUCUAGAGGUACUAUCUCUCCAUGGUGUCAACAUCUCAUCUCCAUUACCUGUGAAUAUUUCUUCUUCCUCCUUAAGGUACGUGGAUCUUGAACGUACUAAUCUGCGAGGUGUUCUCACAGAGAGCUUUUUCCUUCUGCCAAAAUUGGAAAUGCUCUAUUUGAAUUACAAUGAUCUUCUCAAAGGAGUUUUACCAAAGAUCCACCCGAGCAACACUCUGUUGGAGUUGGAUAUUUCCUACACAGGAAUCUCCGGUGAGCUGCCUGAUUCCAUUGGCAAUCUUACACAAAUUAGGUAUUUGGAUUUCAGUAAUAAUCAUUUCACCGGCCAUAUUCCUUCCACAAUCUCUAAAUUGAAGCACCUCAGAUAUCUAAAGUUUUCGUCCAACUCCUUUCCAGGUGAAAUUCCCAAUAUUUUUUCUAACCUCAGAGAGCUACGUUAUUUAUAUCUUUAUAGAAAUAGUUUCAUCGGUUCGUUUCCUUCUACAAUUGUAAGCUUGACACAUCUUCAAGAGUUAGACUUGUCAAGUAAUUCCCUAUCUGGCCCACUGCCUAAUAAUUUUAGCAUGCUUCAAAGGCUAACCCAACUGGAAUUGUCGUACAACGCACUGAAUGGUACCAUACCAUCUUCGGUCUUUAGCCUCCCUUUGCUAUCUUCAUUGUCGCUCCAACAUAAUCAAUUUAGUGGACUACCCGAUGAGUUCAAAACAAACCCAACAUUAGAACACCUAGAUUUAAGCCAUAAUCAACUCAGUGGUUCUUUUCCUCAGUCACUUGCGAGUCUCACAAACCUUUCUACCCUCAUCCUUUCAUCAAAUAACAUCACCGUCGAUGAGGGAAUACAAAUCACUUUUCCUAGCCUAGAAGAUUUGCGGUUAUCAUCUUGUGAACUGAAGGAUUUUCCACACUUCUUGACAAAUGUAAAGAAACUUCAUGUCUUGGAUAUUUCUAACAAUAAGAUUCAUGGCCAAAUCCCAAACUGGUUUAGCGGCAUAAGGUGGGACGACUUGUACUACCUGAAUCUUUCGCAUAAUUCUUUAACAGGCCACCUACAACAAUUUCAUUUCCAUAAUCUAUGGUAUCUUGAUCUUAAAUUUAACUCCCUUCAGGGUCCACUACCUUCAUCCAUUUGUAACAUGAACAAUCUUCAAUUUCUAGAUUUAUCACGCAACGACUUCAGUAACUCGAUUCCAAGUUGCUUGGGAAGCAUGUCUAGUCUAACAGUGUUGAACUUAAGAAGGAACAAUUUCACUGGGAGUCUUCCAUCGUUAUGUGCGCAGAGCACUUCAUUGAGAACCAUUGUCUUGAAUGGUAAUCAAUUUAAAGGAACUCUCCCUGUGUCGUUGCUCAACUGUAGUGAUUUAGAAGUUCUUGAUAUGGGGAAUAACGCUAUAAAUGACACAUUUCCAGCUUGGCUAGGAACACUUCAACAACUGCAGGUCUUAAUAUUAAAGUCCAAUUGUGUUCCAUGGACCAAUUAGUACUUGUCAGACUACGUUUUGCUUUCCCAAGUUGCGAAUUUUUGAUCUUUCGCGUAACAAAUUCAGUGGCUCACUCCCUGCAAAAGUUUUUGGAAACUUCAAGGCAAUGAUUAAAUUAGAUGGUGAAGACACAGGAGAGAUCGAGUACAUGGAAGCAUCUAUGAUGUCAUAUGAUGAUUCUGUGAAUUUGGUGAUCAAAGGGCAGGAUAUUGAGCUAGAAAGAAUCAGCACAAUUAUGACAACCAUAGACCUCUCGUGUAACCAUUUUGAAGGUGUCAUUCCGAAAACACUAAAGGAUCUCAGCUCACUUUGGCUACUCAAUUUAUCCCAUAACAAUCUCAUAGGUCAUAUUCCAAUGGAAUUGGGGAAAUUGAAUAAGCUUGAAGCAUUAGAUCUCUCUUGGAAUCGGCUCACUGGAAAGAUUCCGCAGGAAUUGACAAGGCUAACAUUCUGAAAGUAAACCUUUCUCAGAAUGUUCUCGUUGGACCAAUUCCUCACGUUCUACAAUUCAACACAUUUGAAAAUGACUCGUAUGGCGGUAACCUUGAUCUAUGUGGUCCUCCUUUAUCAAAGCAAUGUGGAACGAGUGCUCUAUCCCAUGUUCCUCAACCAUUGGAGUCUGAAGACGAGUCAUAUUUUUUAGUGGAUUUACGUGGGAAUCAGUAGUCAUUGGCUACAGCUGUGGACUAGUUGUUGGAACUGUUGUGUGGAGCCUCAUGUUUAAAUAUCGUAAGCCAGAAUGGUUUGUCGAAUUUUUGAAGGCAUUUAUCCCAAGAAAAUGAGAAGGUCAAUGAAGAGAGCUCAGAGACGACGGACUUAAUAGAAGAUUGCAGGAGUGGACUUUUCUGUUUUUUUAAUUUUCUUUCUGUUGUUUGUAUAUGAUAGCAAUAUAAUUGCAUGUGUUAUUUUGUGAAUUUCCACUGGAUUAAAUUAGUGUUCUUGAUCUUUGCUUUCAAACUAAAAAUUAAACUCAAAAUAAAAACAAGAGGACAUAAAACAUAACUUUCCUUUUUACUAAAACAAUUUAUUCAAUUACAUUCUUGAGUUUAAUUAAUCAACUUCAACAUGUUUGGUAAUAUCAUCUCAACUAAUUAAUAUUAAAAAUGAUGGAUUUAAGAUCAUUCAAAUCCUCUUAUAAAUUGAUUAUUGUAUAAUGGUGAUCCUCAUGUCUUUUCACUCAAUUGAAAGAAUGUGCCAAAGCUGUCAAGACAUGAGCUUGAUCUGAAAUAAUUUGUGUAGUUGAAGGAUUUUGUCCCAAAACAAUACAAUAACCAUCAUCAUAAUUCUCCAUUCCAUGUGCCAUUAGUUGCCAUACUAAACUUCCUGCCAUUGUUCCACCUUCUUUUGCCAAAUUAUACACAUUUCUAUAUACACUACUCAUAAAUAUAUCUCUUGAUCCUUGACCUCUACUAGACUUUCCAAAUUCAGCAAGCACUAAAGGUUUCUUUUAUAUAUUUCUUGCAUCUUCCCAAUGACUUGUUAUCCACUUUUCCAUCCACACCAAUUGUGCAUCAUCACUUUGUCCGGACACCCUAUAACAACGAUCGAUAUAAAGAAAUAUUUAGACCUAUUUAAUGAAAACAUAUGAAAUUGUACGUAGGGAAAAGAUAUAAAAACUACCAUUGGUCAGUGUAUGCAUGGAUAGUCGCAAAGUCAAUUUCAUUGAUAAGAUGGUUACUAAUGAAAUAUGUUCCAACUUGAUAACCAGGAUUAACUGACUUCCUUUCAGGAAUUGAAUCACCAUAAAAUCCCUCCAUUCCAACCUCUAACAAGUGUUUGUUGUCUAAUGACUUCACAAAACUUGCCAUUUCUUGAACCCAAGCUUAUAACAAUAUUUGUCAAAAACGUCAAUCAUAGAUUUGAUAUUUCUAAAAUUCAACUUGAAUUGGGACUUACAUUAACAGUUUUUCCUGAAUAGUCAGCUUGAUCGCAUGGUUCAUUCAUGAGUUCCCAUGCCAUAAUUGUUGGAUCAUCUUUGUAAGCAACUUUAGUAAUACUAUUCAACCUUGUAACCACUUUCUGUAACAAUUUCAUAAUAUUAUUAAUAAAAAAUGUUGUUUAUAUGUAUUAAAUAAUAAUUACCCCAUAUAUACCUCAAUAUGGUUCUUCAAGUAUUUUUUGAGCAUAGGAUGAGUAUAGAAUUCAUCGUCAUUACUAAUCUGAGCGCCUGCAUUUCGUGCCCACCAAACAUAUUGAGUUUUUCCUCCAAAAUUGUUUCAUUGAUUUACAAAGCUCAAUAUUAAAGGAACACCAUAUUUCUUAGCUUCCGCGAUCACAAAAUCCAAACCGUAAAUUCUUAAGAAAAAACAGUUAGCUACGAGCUACUCCAUCUGCUCCUAUUUAGUUGUCAUGUUAGGCUAUUGUUUUACACAACUCUUAAGAAAAUAUUAGUUAGGAGUGUAAUUUGACUAAUAUAUCUUUUUUUUUUAGUCUUUAUUUAUUUCUCUUCUCUAAAUUCGAAAAUAAAUACUUUUCUUUUUAAUCCGUCCCAAAAAGAAUGUUACUUUACUAGAAAUAAUUUAACUUUAAAAUACCAUUUUUACCCCUAAUGAAAUGAUUUUCAACACCAGAAAUAUCUAAAAAUUAUUUUAGACCACAAAUGUAACAUCCGACAAUUUAAAAUGAAUAUGAAGAAGCUUGAAAUUGGAAGUAGUCAUUUUUUUGAAAAAUUCAGAAUCUGGAAAUUUGGCUAAAUUCAAAAUCUGGAAAUUUGGCUAAGUGUGGAAAUCAGUGAGUUUUUGGCCAACUUGGAGUAGUCAUAAAUCCUAGCUCAAGCUGAGCCAAAAGUAGUUCCAGUUAUGUUUGGAAAGCCCUUGGAAUGAUCUUUCCAACGCCACCGAGUUUGCUCGAUUCCGAGUUCGUAUGAGCGAGUUAUGCCCUUUGAAAGUUGGGCAGUUGGCGGGGAGUCCAUCCGGAAAUUUAAGGGCAUUUUGGUCUUUUCACAAAUCAUUUCUUUUGAGGUUAUAUUGUUGUGUUAGGCUGAUUGUGGAUCAUUUUUGUUCCAUUUUAAAAAGAGUAAAAGUUAGGGUUCUUGAGUGAAGAAGAGAAGAAGAGAGAAAGAAGAAAAGAAGAAGAGGAGAUCAAGGAGAUUCGUCAAGAUCAUCGUGGAUUUUCGUCGGGGGUGAUCCCUAUCAAAGUAUGUGAGUCUUUAGUGUGGGUUGAUCCUUUCCCCCCACACACCAAGCUCAUUUUUAUGAUUUGAGAAAAGAUUGGAUUUGUUGUUGAAGUUGUUGAAGUUGUUAGUUGUGUUGUGGAAGUUAUUGUUGGUUGUGGGACAUGAUUUGGUUGUGUUCUUAAGUUGAAUCUCUUGUAUGUUGAGGGAUUUUAUCAUCCUUAGUAUUGGUUGGUUCAUACCUCCACACACCAACUCGUUUUUAAUUCCAAGAAAAGAUUUAUUUUGGUUGUUGAAGUUGUUGGUUGUGUUGUUGAAGUUCUUGCUGAUUUGGGACAGGAUUUGGUUUGUGUUUUUGAGUGGAAUUCACUGUAUGUUGAGGGGUUUAUGACCCCAAGUGUUUGGGAAAAAAACCUUUGAAGUUAAGAGGGUUUAGAGUUGGCAACAUGAAGGAGAAAAGUCAGGCUGCUUUCAGGAAACAAGUCUGCGUUGCAGCUGUGUUCCCUCUGUGAACAGAAUCUGAUCUGUUUUCAGAAUUUAAUUUCGAAAUUCUUCUUAAGUUUAGCUGUCCUAAAUUAUUCCUAAUCAUCAUGGGGUCCUUCCAAACACAAAUCAUUACUCUUGAAUUCAUAAUCCAAUUCAAGGAGAGUUAGUUCCAAGUCAAGUAAAGUUAGAAGUCAAGUGAUGUUAAGAGUUAAGCUUAGAAGUGAAGUAAGUCAAAUCAAGUUUUCAAAGUUGUUCAAGAGUCUUUAGUGAAUGUUUUAGCUUCAUUUUUUAAGACUCGAGUUUUCAAGUCAAGUCAAAAGUAUUGAGUUUCAAGUCAAGUCAAAAGUUAAGAGUUUCAUGUUAAGUUAAGAGUUUCACAUCAAGCCAAGAGUACAAGUAAAGUAAAGAGUUUUAAGUUGAGUUCAUUUCUCAAAGUUAUUAGGGAACUAUGUAUUCCCAAAGAAGUUUUAAAGAAAUGUCUUUACAUUUNNNNNNNNNNNNNNNNNNNNNNNNNNNNNNNNNNNNNNNNNNNNNNNNNNNNNNNNNNNNNNNNNNNNNNNNNNNNNNNNNNNNNNNNNNNNNNNNNNNNNNNNNNNNNNNNNNNNNNNNNNNNNNNNNNNNNNNNNNNNNNNNNNNNNNNNNNNNNNNNNNNNNNNNNNNNNNNNNNNNNNNNNNNNNNNNNNNNNNNNNNNNNNNNNNNNNNNNNNNNNNNNNNNNNNNNNNNNNNNNNNNNNNNNNNNNNNNNNNNNNNNNNNNNNNNNNNNNNNNNNNNNNNNNNNNNNNNNNNNNNNNNNNNNNNNNNNNNNNNNNNNNNNNNNNNNNNNNNNNNNNNNNNNNNNNNNNNNNNNNNNNNNNNNNNNNNNNNNNNNNNNNNNNNNNNNNNNNNNNNNNNNNNNNNNNNNNNNNNNNNNNNNNNNNNNNNNNNNNNNNNNNNNNNNNNNNNNNNNNNNNNNNNNNNNNNNNNNNNNNNNNNNNNNNNNNNNNNNNNNNNCCCGGAUCAGCAUCCUGCACGUCGUUGAUCCAGCUGAGCACUCCAGAGUCAGUGGUGAGCCUCCUUGCAUUCCGGAGGACUCAAUUAUUUUGUGUUCUUAGUUUUUGUUUUAUUAGGAUGUUGCGGGGUCUGUCCCAACAUCCAUCUCAGUAUUUUAGAGGCUUCAUAGACAGACAAUCAGUCAGUUAGUUUUGAGUCUCUUAUCUAUGUAUAUAUGUAAAUAUUCUAUUUUGAGAUUCGAGUUGCCUUUAUGGCCAUAUUUUAUAAGUUAAGUUGUUUUGUAAUAUUGCAUUGCAUUGAGUUAUUCUGUUGGGUUAGGUUUCCGCUGAGUUAAGAAAGCCAGGCCAAGGGUUCGCUUGGGGCCAGAAAUGGUCUCCGGGUGCCGGUCCCGCCCAGGGUGUAGGCUCGGGGCGUGACAACAAAUUUCAAUAGUCUUCAUUUUUUUUCUUAAAUGUCAUUUCAAAUCAAACAGUUUCACAUAAAAUCAAACGAAAAGAGUACUUUUUUUCUUGAUUCAUUAAAUUGAAAAAUAUUUUAAAAUAAUUAUUUUUAAUAUACACGACAACUAAACGAGACGAUGUAUUUAGCAAUGAACAAGUGACCAAAUUUGUAGCUAAUUUGGGGUCAUCAUUAGUGUUCAUAUCAGUCCAUUAAUUAAGCUUGUCUUAGUUUUUAGUAAUAAUAUAAGUACUUGAAAUACUCUUGAAAUAUACACGAAGGUGUAUAAAUCUCUAACAAAAUAUAUAAUCUACUAAUUAGGCAGCAUAAUUCAUUAAGCAUUUCGAGUUCACACAGAAUUUGACAAAAAUGACUCACCCCAACUCCUAAGGGGUGCGAUCUAAGCCACCUAUACCCUAAUACAAGGAUAUUCAUAAUACAAUUUUAUUGUGUCAUCAAAUCAAACAGUAUCACAUAAAAUAAAAUGAAGAAAGUUCUAAAAAUUUGUAAUAAUUAUUUUACCUUUGUGUGUGAUUGAGCAAGGAAGUGCAAUUAGGACGAACAAAAGCAAGAGCAGCAGCAUCUCCAAAGGUAACAUAAGAGGUGUCAAAUGGACGAGUCGAGAUGAAUUUUUGAAGUGUUUGUUGAGGAAGUAAACAUUUUUUUGAUGCAGGACUAUUUAAUUCUUCAGGUGGAUGAGCAAAUGCCUUGUGAAAUAUAGCCAACAUUGUAUCUUUUUUUUUCGUCUUCAAGAUGAAUAUCUAACAACAAUAUAAAAAAAAUGGUUACUAAUGAGAGUAUAUAUAAUAAACUUUUUACACUAAUGUUUUUAUUUUUAUUUUUAUUUUUAUAGUAUAGUAUAAUAAUAAUAAUAAUAAGGGAGCCUAAAGAUGAAAUAUGUCAAUUUUAUCUUGUAGUGAUAGAGUGUGACGUGACAAUGAUGAGGAUGGAUAAGGUUUCUCGUAUUUCUAUGAUGUCUUUAUCCAUUUAGAUUUUACUAUAAUAUUUAUACCAAAAAUUUUUAAUUUAAACUAUAUUAAACUGAAAAAAUAAUUAACUUAAUUUAACAAUAUCUCUCUUUUAUGAUAGUUUGAUUCAAAACUAUCAGUACCAUAAUAUUAAUAGGUUAUCCAAAAAUGCUCUAUUCUUAUUAUGGUGUGUGUCUAUAUAUAUAUAAUAUUAAUAACAAUAAUCAAUAAUUUAAAUAAUAUAUCAAAAACUUACCAUCAAUUUUUUAAUUUUAUUUGUGUCACAUAAAUUGAGACAAUGGAGUAAAGAGUAAAGACAUAUAUUUACAAAUUUUGUUUAAAAAACUAUAAAUUGCAAUAUAAAUUGAAAUCACAAAUUUUAAAAAAAUAUUUUUAAAUUUUGACGAUUAAUAUAUUGUAUAGAAAUUCACAUUUUUUUUUAUUAAUGUACAUAAGUCAUAUCCUUAUCCAUAUAGUUAUUUUUCUAUUUAUUCCUCCAAAUAUUUUCUUUCUGAUUAUAUUUUCUUUUGUUAAGCUUUAUGUCAGCCAGCCGAAUUGUUUGUUCUAUUAAAAGAAGAAAAAGAAAUUGAGCUUUUUACCACUUGAUAUGGGGCCAACAAGCUUUAACAAAUCUGUGGGUGAUUAUAACAAUUUAUUUGAUGGUAUUAGGGUCGUGCAAAAAUCAAUUUAAUUAAUAAAGUGAAUUGAAAAAUAAUAUUAAUUUAUCGAAAUUGAAUUGUUGAAUUUACAGAAAAGAAUUAAAAUUGCUCAUGAAUUAUAUAAAAUAGAUCACUUAUAUCUUUUAUUAUAUGUUGAAAUAAAAAAUAUUUUCGCCGUUAGUGAUGUGGCAAAACCAGGUGGACUAAUUCUCCAACCCAAGUAUUGUGAACUAGAAUUUACUUAUAAAAACUGGAUCUUUAGUGGCAAUAACUAUAAUCUCUCACUAUUUGCAAAAGCAUAUUACUCAUUUUUGUUCUAAUUUAUGCAAUAUUUUCAAAUUGUUUUUUUAAAGUUUAAUUGAAUCAAUUUUAUUUAAUAUUCAUAUUCUAUUUAACGUAAGACAUGUUAUAUAACAUUGCUUGGAUUCCUACUUUUGCUAAAAAAAUAAAAUUAAUUAGGGAUGAAAUAUCGAAUCUUCAUCAAUAAGGUGAGAGUUUAAGUAAUCAACCAACUGAGUUACUAAGGUUAGAAUUCAAUCGAUAUUAUUACAUUAUUUAACUCUUUUAAAACCUUUAUAUUUAGUUUGUUGGUUGCCAAAAUAUUUAUGCUACGGUUUCACUCUUUAUUGCCACGCGUCAUUUUUUAUUGGCUGUGUCAUCAUUGAUACAAUUGUUUGUUUAUUUAAAAUAUUGUACUAUUAUAUUUGUUGGUUGGAUCUAUUAUUAUUAUUUUUUGGCCUCAAUUGAUAUCUAUGUUCUUUAAUUUUAAAUGUACAUAAAUAGAUAUUUAUAUUUGUGUACUCGCAGACACAUACAUUUUACUUGACGUUUUAUAUGACAGUUCACAUCUUACGUAAUGCCCAAUAUAUAUAUAUAUAUAUAUAUAUAUAUUAUAUCAUGUAGAAUGCAUAUAUUUUAUUUAUUCAACUUUAUACUAGUUAAAAUGAUUAUUUGUGUACAUCCAAAGUAAUUGAAGGACAUAAAUGCCAGCUGAAACUAAAUUAAAUGACAUAUUUAUAUAAUAUAUCUUUUAAAUUUAACAUUACUCCCUCUCAUCUAAUGUUAAAUGGACACCUUCUAUAUUACACAGUGAUUAAAAAUCAUUAAUAAAUUAAUCCAUUUUGCUAUUUACCCUUUGUCCAUAUCAAUGUUUAUAAACAUAAGUUGGAAAAAAUAUACACAGAAUAUAGAAACAUAUUUGAAAAAAUAAUACUCUGUUCAUCUUUACUUGUUCAAUAUUUUCGCUACAGAACCCUUUCAAGAAUGACGCUCUACAAAAUUUCAUACCCUAUGCUCGAAUUUAAAAUCUCUGAUUAACGGGUGAAAUAGUCCUACAACUACACCACGUUGAUAUAUGAUAUAUAUAAUAAUGUAGUACUAGUCUGUUUAAGUUAAAACAUCCGUCAAUGGCGGCUAACGUCAAGAUUGACUAAUGUUGAAAAUGCUAACGUAGGAGCUUGCGUCAUUUAUAUUCUUUGGACCCAUUUGUUUAAUGAAUAAUGAUUGGCUGCACUAAUAUAUAUAUUGAGGAUUUUUGCAUCUAUUAAUUAAAUAAAAUUGGGAGAAACAGAGAAAUGAUGGAGACUGAAGAAAACAUUGUAACUGUUGGUGCUGGCAUAGCUGGUCUUGCUACUUCUUUGGCCCUUCACAGGUAAUAAUUGCUAUUCUAAAAUACUUGUUCAAUAAUUACAUCAUCUACUUCCAAAAGUUUGAUUUAGAAGGGCAUAUGCAUUUGAACGAGCAUUUAUGCCCUCCACUUUUAGAUGUGCAUAAGUAGUAAUACACUUAGGAUGCCAGGUAGAUGCAGAACUGUCACGUAGGAUGCCACAUGGGAUGGGUGUGUUUACUUAGCUUGUUCAACUUUUGAAUAAUUUAACAGUCUACUUGUACCGGCUCAAAGUUGGAUGACAUAGAUGUGGAGCAAAGUUAGAUGAUAUAUUUAUGUAUUAUGCCUCUCUAGAAUAUGAUAUUUAUGAUAUAAUAGCGCUAUUAGUUGAGUGACGAUUUGAGAAAUAACUCGAUGGAAGGCGUGUCUUGUAUGUAAUAUGUAGGUUGGGGCUGCGGAGUGUUGUGUUGGAAUCAGCAGAUUCGUUGCGAGCUACUGGAUUUGCAUUGGCAUUGUGGACUAAUGCCUGGAGAGCUUUGGAUGCAUUGGGCAUUGGGGGCUCUCUUAGACAACGUUCCUUAUCAAUUACUGGGUAAGCUUCCUCUUUAUUAUUAGUUAGGAUUUAGGAUUACUAAUUGAAGUUCAAUUUCGAAUUUUUAUGAGAUUUUGUGGUCAUAUGUGUUUUCCGGAGUUCUAGCUCUGGAAAAAAAAAGUUACUGAUUGUCCAAAAUGCAUUCGAGUUGAUGUGCAGGUUUAAAAGUUUCUCAGCGGAUUCAGGUGCACCUAUCAAGGAGGUAUCAUUUGUGGGGAAUAACAGGUUAGCAUUAUACCAAUUUUCAUAUUAGUUGGGGUCGGUUAUAUAAGUCCUUUCAUCUAUUCGUGUUUAUGUAUGUUCAUUUUGUUCCAACACUAGAUAAUCUAGCAUGUGAGACAAAUUAGGAAUUCUCUAAAAUUAGAGGUUUUUUGAGUAUCGCAAUCUAUAGAGAUGUAUAAAUUUCUAACCAUUGAUAUAAAGACUCCUCACAAACGUUGAAGUAAUGCAAACCUCCGAUUUUCACAACAUCGAUCUUCGUAGAGAACAAUCACAUUUGUUUACGAAGGACUUAAGUAUGAAUAGCAUAUUCAGAGGAUGCUACAUACCCAAUUUUUUGUAUUGUUCACAAGUACAGAGUGACGUGAUUUUAAUGUCCAAAUCCCUAUGAUUUCAACAAUGAAAUUAAGUUCAUUUUGAAUAACGUGGUUGAGUAUGUCUUCCUUCCGACUAUUGGAUGGACUGAUCAUUCGUCAGCCAACAUUUUUAUUUUUGAAGUCAAUAGUCAUCUAAAGUCAGUUAUAUUACGUUGCAGUGUGGAGUAUGAAAGUCGUUGUGUGAGGAGAAAAGAUCUGUUGGAGACAUUAGCUAAUGAACUGCCUCAAGGUGCGAUUAGAUAUUCUUCAAAGGUCGAUUCCAUUGAAGAAUCUGGACCAUUGAAAUUGGUACAUCUUGCAGAUGGUUCCACUAUUAGAACCAAGGUAAAUCUUUCUCUGAAAUCCGUAACUUGGAAUCCCUAUUAUUGGAAACUUCAACCAACGUGAUAAUUCAAACGUGUAUUUGACCAUUAUCUCAAUUCCUUUCGUUAGUCUAGUACGUGACUAACUUUGAUAAGCUUCAAUUAAGGCCUUAAUUGGGUGUGAUGGAGUCAAUUCUGUGGUGGCAAACUGGCUUGGNNNNNNNNNNNNNNNNNNNNNNNNNNNNNNNNNNNNNNNNNNNNNNNNNNNNNNNNNNNNNNNNNNNNNNNNNNNNNNNNNNNNNNNNNNNNNNNNNNNNNNNNNNNNNNNNNNNNNNNNNNNNNNNNNNNNNNNNNNNNNNNNNNNNNNNNNNNNNNNNNNNNNNNNNNNNNNNNNNNNNNNNNNNNNNNNNNNNNNNNNNNNNNNNNNNNNNNNNNNNNNNNNNNNNNNNNNNNNNNNNNNNNNNNNNNNNNNNNNNNNNNNNNNNNNNNNNNNNNNNNNNNNNNNNNNNNNNNNNNNNNNNNNNNNNNNNNNNNNNNNNNNNNNNNNNNNNNNNNNNNNNNNNNNNNNNNNNNNNNNNNNNNNNNNNNNNNNNNNNNNNNNNNNNNNNNNNNNNNNNNNNNNNNNNNNNNNNNNNNNNNNNNNNNNNNNNNNNNNNNNNNNNNNNNNNNNNNNNNNNNNNNNNNNNNNNNNNNNNNNNNNNNNNNNNNNNNNNNNNNNNNNNNNNNNNNNNNNNNNNNNNNNNNNNNNNNNNNNNNNNNNNNNNNNNNNNNNNNNNNNNNNNNNNNNNNNNNNNNNNNNNNNNNNNNNNNNNNNNNNNNNNNNNNNNNNNNNNNNNNNNNNNNNNNNNNNNNNNNNNNNNNNNNNNNNNNNNNNNNNNNNNNNNNNNNNNNNNNNNNNNNNNNNNNNNNNNNNNNNNNNNNNNNNNNNNNNNNNNNNNNNNNNNNNNNNUCAUCCCAUGACUCCUGAUCUUGGUCAAGGUGGAUGUUCUGCUUUAGAGGACAGUGUUGUUAUCGCAAAGUGCCUUGGAGAAGCCUUGAUAAAACCAAUAACAGAACAAGAAGACGAUGAAUCUAUGAAUAUUAGGAAAGGACUCGAGAAGUAUGCUAAAGAGAGAAGAUGGAGAAGUUUUACAUUUAUCAGUGCUGCUUAUUUAUCUGGUUUCAUACAAGAGAGUGAUAACAAGAUAAUCAGUUUCUUAAGACAACAUUUNNNNNNNNNNNNNNNNNNNNNNNNNUUUUGGCUGGAGUCACUAUAUCAGUUACACUAAGAAUAGCUAACUUCGACUGCGGAAGAUUAACUGUUUCUUAGUAGCUCAAUUGGAUCCUUUAGAAGCUAUGAAUAUCCUUUAUGGACUUUGUUUAAUAUCUAUCUAGCAUACAUGUUCUGGUUUAGUUAUGUCUAAGAAUUGUAAGACCGAAUCGGAUCCUUAUUUUGCAAUAAUAAAAUUGUGUCCUUCAUCAAAGAUAUCCAAUAACAUCAGUUGUUUAGAAGCAAAUAUGGUAAAAGCUGCAUUUUAUUAUUAUCAUGGAAAAACAGUGUAAAAGGUAAAUCUCUGAAGUAUAGAAUAAGUGUUUUCUUAUCUGAGAUCAUUUCGUGCAAUUAGAUACUACUCCC
rnacentral:lncRNA from 1 species